rnacentral:lncRNA from 1 species
GAAGAAGGACUCGAUAGGGGGAAGAAACACAUGGCUCGGUCUAAUGAAUCUGAGAAAAAUGAUGAAGUCGUCCCCCUCACCACCAGCACGACAAUUGUGACACCAUUAGAGCCUACUGAGAAGGUUGAAGAUGAAGAUGUAGUGGCCAAAGAAUCAAAUGAAGAAACAGCAGACAGUGUUAUUGAGAAUGCUGAAGAUGAAGAGGUGGUGGUCUAUAGAGGAAGACAAAGUGGGCCCGACGCAGCAGACUCCUUGUUAUGCUGAGGGUAAAGCUCUAACUAUUAUUUUGCACUUGCACUUCAUUUUGAGUGUCUUAAAGCCAGCUGCACCUCACUUUAUCGUUUGAAGACUAGGAAAUCUGAAUAAUAAAUUUAAGUUAAUUCUUCCAUCUCUUUAUAUAUGGAUUUGAAGGAACCGAUUGAUGAAGCCUAUAAAUUCAAGCAACGAUUGUGUAAUGGGGAUCAUGCGCUGUUCUCUACCAUCCAGUCUUGGUAAACAGCUCGAAAAAUGAAGUGCAGACACUAUUAGAUCUACUCUCUUUGAAAGUGCUUCGUACAUGCAUGUUUGUCACUGCAAUGUUGUCAUAGUCUCGUAGAGCUGAUUCUUCACAAUUCAGACAUUCACCCAUGAAUUCUUUGAAAUUUAGAGCUUUUCUUCAUAGCUACCUCAUUAGAAAACAAGUCAUGACAUAAGACUUAUCGACUCAAAGCCGAAUUUUCUCGAUCAUGACCUAACAUCUGUUUAUCUUGUGCUGGCAGGUGGUUGGAUACCACUAUCCCCAACUUGUGCAGAAGCUUCCUGACCUUUGUAUGUCAUCAGCAGUGGGUGCCGGAUGUUUGAUCAGAUCGGCUAAAUUAUGAACUUAUUGUUUAUAUUUGUGUCAAUAUUUACAAAGGAAGGGGGAAAAAAAACUAAUAUAUUAAAUAACGCGGCAUCAAAAACGUCCUCCUAAACAAAAUAUGUAUCUAUUUUGUAAAAUGAGUUAAUAAUUGUUAUGAGAAUUUACUCUUUUAACUCGUAGAGAUACAACCUUAAUAUGCUGGUUAAUUCAGCUCAUUGAGAGGGAGACAAUUAGACAAACAUUAUUUUAUAAGAGUGAACUGCAAAAGUACUAGCUUUACCAGAGAGAUUAAUGUUGCCGUUCGCACUUUACAGUAACAUUUGUUUAAUUGCAACUCAAUACAGGAAUUGAACGUGUAAAUGGAAUUAAUAAUACUAAGGGAGAGAAUUCGUCGAAAUUAAUAAUACUAAGGGAGAGAAUUCGUCGAACUCAUAAUAUAUGAUGCUACAUUGCUGCCAUUUAAGAAUUUCAGAGCCAACUAACAGUCACCUUUAUUGGAAAAUCCCACAAGAAUUGGAAGCAAUCACAUACGUGAACAAUUAUAUAUAUUCGUAUCCAUAAUUAGAUAUCACAUUCAUCAAUUAAAUAUGUUUUUUUUGUUGAUAAAUUGAUAUAUUAGAGUAUCACCAAAAGACUCUUCAAAUAAGAUUUUAUUAAUUAUUUGAAGAGCUACCUCAAUAUUUAAGACUCCAAAAGACACUUAAAUUAAGAUUCUUCAAAUAAGAAAUGAUUCUCUCCCUUCAAAUUUGGAGAGUUGAUUUCCCCAUCUUCAAUUUAUACUUUAUUAUUUUUCAUUGGAGAAAAAGAGAGAAGUGCUUUAAUUGCUAUUGACUUUUUCUUUAAAAAAAAUAAUUAUUUGAUUAAAAAUAAUAUUAAGUUAUUUCUAUUUGAAGAGUCUUUUUGAGAAUAUCAUAUUUUUUUACCUUUCUAUUUGCCACAUAGGUAAGCAAAUAGAUAUUUGAAGAGUAAAAUUUAUAGUCUUUUGGAGAUGCUCUUACAAUUAGAGCUUCAUCAGUAUUUUCAAUCAAAAAUUUGAUCCAAACUCUCCUUAAUAAUUUUAUUAUGGCGCAGUCUAAAAGUCGACCCUCAUUUAAUAAUGGAGUAAAAUCUAUUCCACUCUAAGUGCGAGAAGAUAGAUAGACCCCUACUAAAAAAUGAGUCGAGUCCCAUCCAACCCAUGCGCUCAAGGUUCUAAUUGAAAUUUCAUUUACGUUGCUUAGUUUCUAAGUUCCAAAAUUGAAAUUUCAUGUAAAGAUUUUUGCAUUGGUGUCUUGUUGCGACCAAUAAAUUUGUUAGUUGCCUUGUGGGUCGCACUUCGUUUGAGAAAGCAAGCAUGAAAAUGCCACUUUUGAAACAAGAAUAAUGAGAGGCGUGGGUCUAAUAAAUCAAUCAGUUUUAUAUUUUUAUCCAAGGAUGAAGAUGGCGAUGAGAGGAGCUCUCCUGUAUGCUUUUUCAUUAUAGGUGUUCGCGGAUCGAAUUUUAUGAAUUAGACAUCAAUUAAUAUCCGUUCCACGAUUUUGAGGACUAUAAAUUUUUAAUUCAAUCCAAUUCACGGAUUGCUGAAAUUCAAUCCAAAUUCAAUCCAUUAGUCUGCAGAUUGGAUGCGGAUUUGACAUAAACCAUAUCUAAUUCACCAUUUUGCUAAUUGGUUUGCAGACUAAAAAUUUUUAAUUUCAUACUAUCCAUGAACUAAUUAAAUAAAAAAUUAAUAUAAAAAUGAUUUUCUUACUAAUCAAAUUCAAGAUUAAAUAUGAUUCAAAUAAAUCAACUACUUAAAUAAAGCUAGAAAAUACAUUCAAAAUUUCAAAAUAUAACACACUAAAAAGAAAAAAAAAAUCAUUUGAUUAGAUUAGUAUAUGAAAAUUAACUACUUAGGAAGUUAUAUUUGUUUAUUUAAUUAUUUUUACUUUAUAUUAUUAUUGGAUAAGAUAUAAUAUGGUGUAAAUGUAACUAUUUUAUAACUUAUUUAUUUAUUAGUAAGUACUAAUGCUAUAUUUAUAAGUUUAAUUUUUAUUAAAUAAAUAUUUUUUAAUGGAUUUACAGAUUUACGGAAGUAAAUCCAUAUCUAAUCUACCGAUUGCGGAUUUUCAAUCCACCAAUCAACGGAUCAGAUUUUUAUAGAUUGUAUUUCUACGGAUCAAACAAAUUGAGCAUAUCAUAUUGAAUUGUGAACACUCCUAUUUUUCAUUGGUACUCCUUGUGCCACCACUCUAAAGCUAUAAACCUCAAAUUUCUUCGUCAUAGUCAUGAUGUAAGUAAGUUCUAUAGGAAAACAAAAGCAAUAAUUAGUAAUGGUUCCUAAAUAAUAAUGAAUAAUAACAUUUUUGAUCAUUUAUAAGUAUUGAUUGUUGUGCCCGAAAUGCGAAAUCAAGUACACCAAAUAAUCAUAAAAAAAUAAACGACACAUAAUUUUAUGUGGUUCGGCAAUAUGUAUACAUCCACGCGAGCAAGAGAAAAUAAUUGUAUUACUAACAAUUAUUAGAGUACAAUAUUUGAGUAGAAACCUCACUUCCUAGAACCUAAAUACACUCAGUACUCUCACACACACUUGAAAGGAAAAUAAAAAACCUCACAAUUGUUCACUCUCUUAACAAUUCUACAAUUUAAUUGUUACUUUUUCAAAGUUUUUAGGAUGAUUUCAAUGAACGAGUGCUCCUCUAUUUAUAGUUGAACCUUUCCAUUCAUGCUAGCCAUUUUCAAAGCAAAAGUCUUGAGCACCUUUCAAAAUUUCAAGGUUUGGUGCUAUUAAGUCUAUUAUUUAUAGAGUUGACGUCUUAUGGCAAGUUUAGUUAAAUUAAAAUUUUAUUUAUUGCAUAUCUUGUAACAUGAUUAAUUUAUUAAUUCCCUAAUUUAGUGAGAUUCCAAUUUAUUAGGAAUAUUUGUUUCCUAAUUUAAUUGGAUACCUAAUUUAGCAAGUCAAUUAAUGAUGAGAUUCUAUAAUUGGCGCAUGAGAUCUAUUUAGAGCAAGAAAUUGGUUAAAAAAAGAAGUUCAUUAAAUGCUCUAGAUAUUUCUUAAGAGACAAGUAAAGCAAGAAGAUCAUAUUUAUUCCUAUUCAGAGUCAUAUGGAUUAUAAGAAGAAAGAAACUCUUAUUUGGAAAGAAUUCAAGUCUUUUAAGACUUGCUCUUUUUUUUUAAACCUUAGUGCCUAUAUAAAGAGAGAUAUUUCACAAUUAAAGACACACAACACAGAGUAUAAAGUAGAGAAGUAAAAUUCGGCCUCCUCCUUAGAGAAUUCAGAUUUGGUGCAUAUUGUUAUGUUGAUUUAUUUUCUUAUCUCCUUUUCAUCUCCGUGGAGAGUCUAUGUGGAUCUCGGAUCACUAGACAUGGAAGAAUUGAAGAAUUGUUGUUGAUAACUUUGCGAAUUUCCUUAAGGAUCGUGGAUCAAUAGGAGUAUCAAUUAUUCAAGAGAAGUAAAUUCAGUCUAAGGUUGAGUAAACUAUAUAGUGAUAAACUGUAAGUGAGAGUCUUAAGUUUGGUAAAUUCAUAAGUUGUAACAUCUCAACUUAGUGAAUUACUUUUUAUUUUGAUGUGGCCUCGUGGAUGUAGGAUUGAUUAAUUCAAACCACGUAAAAAUCUUAGUGUCAUUUAAUUUUUAUAAUUUAUUGUGUUUUUAGAAAAUUAAUGUUUUUUAUGCGGAUGAACAGUAACAGUAAACAAUGUCAAUGAACAGUAAUGAUGAACAGUAACCGUAAAUAGUACGAUGAACAAUAUUUCUAAAAAUUAAUUAAGUUGUUAAUUUUAAAAUUUUUAAUUGCCUAAAUCUAUUUGUAAUAGAUCUAAAUUCUUUUCAUGUGCCAACUUUUCAAGUUUUGCAUGCUUAGGCACAUGCAUAUGUCAAAUUUUCAAGAUUUGGUGUCAACUUUUCAAGCUUUGCAUGCUUAAUCACAUACUUGUUUAACCAAAGUCACAGGAGCCCCUAUGUUACAAUUAAUGUAACAUACACACUUAACAACAACCACACAAAUAAUAGGCCCACACAAUUUAUGUGAUUGUUGUUGAGUGUGUAUGUUACAUUAAUUAGAACAUAACAUUUGCCAAGUCAAAAAGGUCGUCUGUGCUCAACAUUGAUAUGAUUUUAUUUAUUUAAUGUCAGAUCGAUGCAAAAACACAUUCACAGCCAGCUAAACUACACUAAAAUAGUGCGGGUUCAGUUUCAUUUAAGAUUUAACUUAUAUCAAAUCAUUGGAGAGAAAUGAGCUUAAUUAAUUACCUGAUAACUGCAGCCAUUUAAUGUUUCGUCAGAAAAGAAUUCACCAAGAUUAUAGCAAGAUUUUUUCCCUCUUGAAGCACCAAUCCCUGAGAAUAUCUGGGCGUGGUAUCUGUGCCUGAUGAUAAGGCUCUGAUUAAAACCUUAACUUAAUGAUCGACUCUGAGCUGAUGCUGAUGUACUAUACAAUAUUAAAAAAUUAUUGUUUUCCCGCUAAGAUCUUUUCAGUCAGGCAUUUUAUCAAACACGUGAAUGUAGCCUCAAAUACCUGUAACUUAACCAACAAUAUUGCAAAGACAAAUGAUGGGACCGAACAAUUGACAAAUCAAUUGCAAUAAGCACAAUUUAAAUUUAAGUAUGUGCGCGCGCGUGUAUAUAUACACACACGUACAUAUAUAGUGUUGAUCUGGUUUAAUAGUUUUACCAAUCUUUAAUAGAGUGUACAUAUAUAUAUAUAUAUAUAUAUAUAUAUAUAUAUAUAUAUAUGAUAAAGCCAUAAGAUAUUGAAUUGAUACUUUAUUUCGUACUAAUUUAUGUUCUUAAAAUUUUUCAUCAAAAGUUAUACCAUGUUGUUUGUCUUAAACGAUCCUUUUCCUAUGUGUGAUGUUGAAAUAAAAAUAUAACUAUUUCGACAUUUAAGAAGUAUUUAUUUUUAUUCUUUUUUUUUUAUUGAAACAAGAAAGAGACAGAAGAGAAGAGUUUAAUCCUUUUUUACAGUGAUUUCCUUAAUUAGCAAGUAAUUUCAAGCAUUAUAAAAUCACAUUGGAUAUAAAUUUACCAUCAAAUUCAAUCCAUUUAUAUAUGAUUGAUAUAUUACUAUACUUUUCUUUAGGUCUAUAAGUAGCUUUGUAGUGCCAAACUAAAUGAAUCUGGAGUAAGUGAGAAAUUUCAAUCACGGACAGAAUAUAAGAUUGAGAAUUAUUGAUUAGGUUAAUAAUCCAUGGCAAGAAAUUCUGAUAAGUUUACAUCAAAAUACUAUCGAGAUUUCUUGAACAUGCACAAUCGAUUUUGAGUCUGUCAUUAACACAUUAACCUAAUUAACAUAUACAGUGAGUAAUAUUUUUUAUUUUUUGGUAGAAAUAAUAAUAUAUCCUGUCCUUUGAAUAAUUGAAUUCCACCUUCAGCCUGCAGAAUGAUCCCCUUUAAGAUCUGUGGCAGGUCAAGUCUAUUUAGGAAAUAGGAAAUAUAAUUUAGUUGGUUUAAUUAUUUUGGGUUUAAUGAGGAUCUGGAAGCAUACAAGGAGUAGUUUAGGAAGCAAAUCAACGAAGACCUGCAAGCUUGGAUAGCAUAAAUAAAGUAAACUGGACAUGGUUGAUUUGUGAAGAUUGCAUGCUUGCUUGCAGUCUAAGAAUUGGUCACUUGAUCGUUAUGUAAAGGGCUCGCAAUUUGUACUUCGGUGGCUUGAUGAACUAAACCGUAUACAAAUCUUUUUCAUACCUUUUUUUUAAAUUUUUUUUUAAGGUAAGCCAAAUCGAUUUUUAUUCCGGUUCGAUUAAAACCAAGUCGGAUUCGAAAUAUAUUUUAAGUUCCGUUCGAUUAACCAAUCCGACAAAUGAUAAAUUUUGUUAGUGCUAUCUCUUCCAUUAUUUUUUAUUAGGAUCGUAAUAUAUAAAAUAAAUCUAAAUAUCCUUAUAAUCCCAGAAAGUCACGUCCAUAACUAAAUUUGUCUUGGCUUAUACUGAUGUCCACAAACAGAUUUAGUGUGUAUUAAAAGAAACAUUCCUCCUAUUUACUAUUUAGGUUUCCAUCAUAUAAAUAAUUUUUUUUCUUCACGAAUAAGUUAAAGCCUUAAAAGGGAAAAGCAUUAUUUUACUUUAAAAAGACACGAGUUUCUCAAUUGCAUUUCAUGAACAAAUUAAAGCCUUAAAAGGGAAAAUAAUUAUUAUAGAUAUAUAUUAUAAAAAAAAAAACACUAGUUUCCUAAUUGCAAGUGUGGGGUGUGUGUGUGUGUGUGUCUCUCUCUCUCUAUAUAUAUAUAUGUAUGUGUGUAUGUAUGUAUAUUUGUCUUUGUUGGGCACACAAACAAAUUAAUGGUGCAUUUGGGGCAGUUGCUUCACCCCUUAUAUUCUUACGGACUGUGGUGUGAUAGUGCAACUACCUCAAAUGCACCCUAAAACAUUUGACAUGCUUGCCAACAAUUUUUACCUUACGCAUAGGCAUACACACUUUCUUUCGUUCCACAAUCAAUGGAGUUCAAAUUAAACAGUAAUAUUUAAGUCAUCAUUUUAUAUACUAUUGAAUUGGAUAUAAAUAAUUAGAUCUACUAAAUAAAAUAUAUCUGUCGUCAUAUAAAUGAAUAAUUAGUAUGAAUUACUAAUUAUUUUACCAUAAUUAAAUAAAUAUGCUUUCAUUAGGAUUUCUUAAGAAUUGUUUGGUAGUGAAGUGUUGUGACUUUUAAGAUAUAGUUGUAAAAUUAAACACUAUAACUACUUAAAAGAGAGUUAUGAUGGUGUAUUUACUAAUUAGAAUAUAAGAUUCAUUAAUUUGUUUACUUCCAAAAUGAGGUGAGUGAAAAUGAAAUUUGAGUGGGCUCUAUUAAUUUGGAAUGUGAAAUGGGAAUCCUAUUCCCAAGCGGGGACGUGGGAAUGAGAAGUAACUUGACAUUUGUACCCUUAGUGAAAAUAUAAAUUUCUUUUUAACUCGUUUAAUAAUAAUAACAAAUAAUGAUCAUUACCAACUAAGGUCAAUUUCAAAACAAAGUAAACACAUCAAUAGCAAUAUAGCUCAUUAAGAUUUUGAUUUUUAUAGUUAAAGUAAACAAUCUAUUCUAAUUUUAAUUUCUAAUUUCGAUUCUAACUCAUUCCAAAGAUGAUUAGUAAACGCACCACGAGCGUUCAUCAAUUUUUAUUUAAAAUUGAAGAAAUUAAAAAUAAAAUAAAAUAACUACACAACCUAGUUGCUAGGAAGUUAAAAAAAUAUUUUUUUUCUUAGAACAAAAAAUAUAACUAGAUAAUAAAUAAAAAUCAAUGUUAAAUAAUGCACAUUAGUUCUACACAAACUAGACUACGGUCAUGUUUGAGAUUGAAGUUCUGUAGUUUUUAAGUUGCAGCUGCUGUUGAAAAAAAGUUGUAAUUAUGAAACAAAACUUACAGCACAACAUAUAUAACUAACAUUUUGCCAGCUCAUCUUACACGUCAGCAACCAUAACUAACAAUAACGAACUAUUCUUAACAUGUAGUGAAUAUAAAUUUUAAAUAAUAAUUUUGACAAAAUUAUUAAAGAUAUAAUAGAUUUUUCAUCAUACAAAUGAAAAAUUAUAUCAACAUAACUUUCAAGCUACAGCAACUAGUGUUUACUAAACACUUUAGUGCUGUAGUUUUUAAGGUACAGCUGUCAAACCUCAAUCCUAAACGCACCCUACACUCAGUUUAAGAAUUAUAUGAAAAUGACAAAAUCUAAUGCUAUGUGCAUUAUUAUUUAUCUUUGGUCCAUAAAUAUUAAGAAGAUAAAGGAGAUGAAGGAAAAAAAAAGAGUAAAUUUGUAAUCGCAAUUUAAUCUUAUGCUCUGAUUUUGAAGCAAUUUGGCAGAGUUUUGAGGAUCCAAUCAUGAACCAUGUCCACUUCUAUCUCUCGCUGCUUUGUUAACCAUUCUGGAUCAUUUUUUGUUGCUGGUUGUAUUUCUAAGCAAGGGGAACCUGCUCCAAUUUACAUUCAUUAUGUUAUUCAAUAAUUUAGUUAAUAAUUGAACACAAAUUUGGUACACUUAGAAAUUCUGUCGCCAAAUUUGUAACUGCAGAAAUUUAUUUUUUAACCAUGACCUCUUCAAUACCAAAUUUUUGAUUAAUUUGUUUUUCAACCAUGUCCAAUUUAGUACUAACUUUACAAAUUUUUUGUUCAUCUUGUCCACCAUAUUAAAGUAAGAGAGUAAAAUAAAUGACAAGUUAAAGAUAAAAAGUAUAGUAUAUUUCAUUUAUUAUAUAGUGUAUUAAAGUGUAUAUAUAUAUAUAUUUUAACUUAUCCCCUACUUUACAAAAUAAUAUAUUCCUUUAUUGGAAGGGAACUCAAAUCUGUCAUUACAUGGGGCAUACAAAGCCGUUAUCUAGGAAGCAAAUGAAUGAAGAUCUGGAAGCUUGGAUUGCAUAAAUCAAGUAAAUUGCACGCGGCUGAUUUGUGAAGAUUGCAUGCUAAUUACUAUUGCAUUUAAGUUAAGAGAUCAUUUGCAGGUUUGCUUGCAAUCUAAGAAAUUGGUCACUUGAUCAAGUGCCUUUAUAUAAAGACCUGCAAAUUGUACUUUGUUGGCUUGAUGCAUUGAAAAGUGUGCAACGACGAGCAGCGUGUCGUGAUUCGUGAAUUGAUGAAGAGGAAGCAGCAAUGACAAAUAAUAUUCGGCUUUUCAUCUAAAACAACUCUUUAUGUCUUUCCCAUCCUAAUGGACCUAGCAUGCGUUUGGGGCACCGCGUGCCACCACGGCGCAGCUGCUCCCCACCGUUUUUAUUCUAGGAGAAUAUUCCUUAAAAUAUAAGAUGGAAAAUAGUCAUUCCAAACACACUCCUAAUCUAUAUUCUACAAACAUAUUAAAUUUAAUAAUUAAUUUCUUCCGUUGAAAAGGUAUUUACAAUAAUGAAAGAAUCUCACAUCAAGAAAACGAGUGCGAUUUGAGUAUUUGCUAAGUAAAUUUAAUUAAUUGAUUUAAUUGUAAGUAGUGGGAAAAAUGAGAGGGAGUUGUAAUUUUUCUAUAUUUAUUGUAGUAUUAUAUAUAUAUAUAUAUAUAUUAGCACUAUAUUUUUUUUAUUAAAAUAGUAAUAUAUAAAAUAAAGUAAUGAUUAUGUAGAGUUAUUUCAUUAUAGUACACUAUUUUAUAAUCACACAAUUAAAAAAAUAAAUUGACACCGUAAUUGUGUGGUUAUUAACUUACAUGCUUUGCGGUGGAUCAUAGCCGGACUGAAGUUUCCUUACACUACAGUCCCAGAGAGUCAGAUCCAUAACGUGUAUAGUGUUGACGUACACAUGUCGGUCACCAAACUUUGGCGCGUGAAAAAACACCCUUCCUAGUUUCCAUUUAACUCGAAGCUCAUAUCUUUCUUCGCGAGCAAGUUGAAGCCUUAAAAGGGAAAAGCUUUAUUAUAGUUUGAAAAAAAAAAAAAAAAAACGAGUUUGCUAAUUGCAAACGUCGCUUAUAUUUAUAUGUUCUUUCAUUCGUCUUCGUUGGGCAUACAGACAGACAGACUAAAACCCACUUGACAGGCUCGCCGACGAGUUACAUUGCACGUAGACAACACACACUCACUUUCUUUUCACAGUCCAUGGAGUUCAACUUUGGACGAAUUGACGGCAGAACGGCGCCGUCUCGGUCGUCUCCUUCUCCGUCAUCUCAGAGCUCGAGCUACUCAUCUGAUGAUCAAGCACGUCGAGGAGGUCCGUUUAGAUCUCUCUCACAAUCGUCAUUAUCCUCUAUUUGCUUACUGAAAACAAAAAAACUAAAAGAAAAAUAAAGGAAAUAUACAUAUUUAUAUAUAGACGUUUGCUUUCAGUAAUGUCGUAAUUUUGAGAAUUGCUUCGAAUUGUGAUCCAAAUGCUUUAUGGAAAAAUUUAUUUCAGAACCUUAAAUGCUUUUGCACUUGAAAUCAAAUAACGUAGUUUGCCAUCUUGAAUUAACAUAAACAAUCUCUUUCCAGGUAACUACUCAAUGGGCCCCGAUUUGUUGAACAAUCCAAGACUCCUUUACACGCUCCAGCGUGAGAUUGAGAAGGAGAUAAUCAGGCAUGAAAUAAUUGCUGCAGAAAUUGAGCGCCGGCGAUUGCCUGAAGAAGAGGUGAGAAGAGAGCUGAUGAUUGAAAGAGAGAUGGCAAUGUAUAGAGCAAGAGAAAUGGGGCUGUCAAUUGAUGACAGGCUCUUAAUGCAACUAUACACAAGGUACCUGUGGUUCCCAUUUAGUAGGAAUCUCGGCUUGGGAUUUGGACAUGAUGUACUGCCUUCUACUCUGCCGCAUUUUUCACAUGGGCUUUGGAGUGGCUUGGACGUUAACAACAAGGAUGAACUGACUAUGCUGGUCGGUAUUCAAUUUUACUUCUUCACAUGGUUUAUUUAUUUAUUUAUUUUGGUUGGUGUCAAUGAGUAUAUUUGUCUUCAAUAUUGUUUAAUGAUUGUAUUAUAUGGAAUCUGGUUUGCUACAAGUUUGAUGGAAUUGAUUCAAUCAGGUGCUAAAUUUAGAGGCAUGUGAAUGAUGUGCAUCUGGUUUUGGCAUCUUGUCUUUGAGUUUUGCUCUUAUUGACAAGGUAGGUGCAUCCAGGUUUGCUACCCAUGCAUGCGGUAAUCCUUGUUCUUCUGUGGGCUGUGCAUAAAAAAUUCAGUCCUAAGGGGGCAUCAUUGUGACUGAUCAAGGAGAUUUUUCUCCCUUGGUUUCUGUAGCUGUAAUUUUUCAUUACAACGAUUUUUUAUGGUGGCAUUACUGUAAUCUGGGCAGAAAAUAACCUCAGAUUGAUGACUUUGCUGAUUCCUUAGAUGUUGAUUUUUGGUACCCUAGUUUACUUGGGGAAGUCUACCCUAUGUAUAAACGGCAGACUCUUGCACAUGCCUUGCCUUAGUAGACAAUGAAAGCAUGAUCAAAUUACACCAUGUAGAAUGAAAACGAAUAAUAUUGUACCAAUUCUCUGAGUGUAGAACCUUAAUUGGAUCAUGCUUUCAUUGUUUAUUUUCCUUGUGCACACUGUCCUUUUGCUUCACUUUUGCUGGUAUUUCAUGUCUAAACUUUUUGGAUAUUUUCCAUGUUACUGAGGUUAUAGCUUAGGUACUGAGGUAGAUGGAUUUCAGUAGAUAUUAAGUUUAAAUAACACAAUAUAACCAACAAGAUUGUAUUUAUUGCUAUUUUUCUGGUGCAUUAUAGGACUUCCCAGUGGACCUUUACUCACUUUUGUUUUGAUACUUAUGAAACUUGGUAAGUGUUUUUUUGAUUUAUUACAGAUUUUCUGCUGAUGGAAAAUUUCAGAAGAAAGUAGUUACAAUGCAGAGCUUACUAAUUGAGGGGAGUUCAAAAUGAUAAUUUUUGACUUUGGAUUUAUGAAAAUUGAAGUAUUAGUAGAGAUAAGUGAGUUUGUUUCGUGUUAGUUUCUUCAUCCUUUCCAAUUGACAAUGCAGAGCUUACUCUUUACAUGUCCAUUUGAAUGACUUUAUCCUGCAUACGUGGAUUUGAAUGUUAUUAGUAAGCCAUUGCUUAGAGAUUCCCAUGUCCAUUCUUAGUGCUAUAGACCUUGGUCUUGAUGCACAGGUGACAAGUUUUUUGGGGAGUACAUUUGGACUCACUAUCUUGAUAUAGUUUCAAAUAUUUUAGCAUUUGAUACUUACGUUGGUUUCACAAGUUCAGUUUGGUUGGUCAACUCAGGUGCAUGAGAGAGUUUGUGUAACUCUCGACCAUGCGUGCAAAUGCCAAUGUAUGUGGCUUUAAAAUUUGGGCAGUGAGGACACGUGAUCCUCUAUAACCUGGAAUCACUAUGUGUCUGAAACCUUUUUGAAUGAAAAACAUGAGCUUGUAGCAAGCUAAGGUUCCAAGAGAGGUUACAUAUGUUUACCAUCAAGUGUCACAUGAACUUGUACAGACUGAUGUUUCUGUUUUCGGGUAAUUUCUUAUUUAAAAUCUUGUUGCUUCUGUUUGUGUAUGUGUGUUGGGCUGGAGGCUUCAUUAAAAUGGUGUUUCCUCAAAUUAUGAAAUAAUGCUCAUAAGUAUUAAUAUCAUCUCUUCUUGUCCAGCUUAUUAAGAAAGUGUUGCAGAAUCCUAUUCAAACACAUUCCCUUUUUUGUUUCUGGGAAGGGAAGAUUUUCCUAGUUCAGUGCUAAAUUAACAAGGAUUCUGGUUGUAUUAACUAUUUAAAAUAUAUUUCUACAUUCUGACCUUUUCCGAGAAAUUCAAAAUUUAAAAUACAAUUAGUGCGCAUUAUUAUUUUGUAAACAAAUUCUUUUAUCUGUACUACAUUAGCAGAUGAUGGAGCUCACAGGGAAUAUUUUGCAUUUUUUACCAUUGAUGCGGUAACUAAUGCACGGCAUCAUCGUUACUGUGUUUGGGUCUCAUUUGCAGGGUAAGCCUGAUUCCAAUAUUUGUGGAUCAAAGCAGAAAGCUGCCACACCACCUGCAGGUUCUGGAAAGCUCCCUUCAACAAGUUCAAACAAACCCAAGAAGUGGAGCUGUGCCCUCUGUCAGGUCAGUGCUACUACUGAGAGAGGUCUAUAUGUGCAUCUUCAAGGUAAGAAUCACAAGGCCAAGAAAAAUCUACUUAGAGAUUUAAAGAUGUUCAUUAUCUCCACUUCAAAAAAAUCUACUGAGAGCAGAGAUAGCGGUGGCCAAGAAAUGAAAACUAAAGUACAAAAGGAAUCAGUUAAAGGUAAUAAAACUGUUGUUGAUUUAGACCAGAAAGUGGAGGGUGGUCUAGAUGGGCAUUCUCAACGUAAGAAGCACAAGGCCAAGGUAGCAAGACUGCUUAGAGGUAAGAAAAUGUGUGGUAACUUCACUUCUUCUGUGUCAAAAAAAUCAACAGAAAGCAGAGGUGGUGCUGGCCAAACAAUGGAGACUAAAGCACAAGAGGAAUUAGUUAAAGCUAACAAAACUGUUGUUGGUUUAAACCAGAAAUUAAAGGGUGGUCUAGAUGGGCAUCCUCGACGUAAGAAGCACAAGGCCAAGGUAGCAAGACUACUUAGAGAUAAGAAAAUGUGCAGUAACUCCACUUCUUCUACGUCAAACAAAUCAAAAGAAAGCAGAGGUGGUUCUGGCCAAAAAAUGAAGACUAAAGUACAAGACGAAUCAGUUAAAGCUACUAAAACUGUUGUCGGUUUAAACCAGAAAGUGAAGGGUGGUCUAGAUGAGCAUCCUCAAGGUAAGAAGCACAAGGUCAAGGAAGAACUACUUGGAGCUCAGAAGUGGACAAAAAAAUCUACAGAAAGCAGAAAUAUUGCUGGCCAAGAAAUGAAGACUAAGGUAGAAGAGAAAUCUGUUAAAGCUAAUAAAACUGUUGUUGGUUCAGACCAGAAACGGGAGGGUGGUCAAGCCCAGCAGGUUAAGCCCUACCCCAAUGUUUGUGGAUCAAAGCAGGAAGCUGCCACACUACCAGCAGAUUCUGGAAAGCCCUGUUCAACGGGUUCAAAGAAACCCAUGCAUUGGAGUUGUGCCCUUUGUCAGGUCAGUUCUACUAGCAAGAGAGAUCUAGAUGAGCAUCUUCGUGGUAAGAAGCACAAGGCCAAGGAAGAAGAACUACUUGGAGCUCAAAAGUGGACAAAAAAAUCUACAGAAAGCAGAGAUGGUGCUGGCCAAGAAAUGAAGACUAAAGUAGAAGAGGAAUCCAUUAAAGCUAAUAAAACUUUUGUUCGUUUAGACCAGAAAGGGAAGGGUGGUCAAGCCCUGCAGGUUAAUCCCUAUCCCAAUCUCUGUGGAUCAAAGCAGGAAGCUGCCACACUACCAGCAGAUUCUGGAAAGCUCCGUUUGGCGAGUUUAAAGAAACCCAUGCAUUGGAGUUGUGCCCUCUGUCAGGGGAGUGCUACUAGCAAGGGAGAAUUAGUUAAGCAUCUUCAAGGUAAGAAGCACAAGGCCAAGGAAGAAGAACUACUUGGGGCUCAGAAGUGGAGAAAAAAAUCUACCGAAAGGAGAGAUGGUGCUGGCCAAGAAAUGAAGACUAAAGUAGAAGGGGGAUCCGAUAAAGCUAAUAAAACUCUUGUUGGCUUAGACCAGAAAGGGAAGGGUGGUCAAGCCCUGCAGGUUAAGCCCUAUCCCAAUCUUUGUGGAUCAAAGCAGGAAGCUGCCGCACUACCAGCAGGUCCUGGAAAGCUCCGUUUGACGAGUUUAAAGAAACCCAUGCAUUGGAGUUGUGCCCUCUGUCAGGUGAGUGCUAGUAGCAAGAAAGAUCUAGUUGGGCAUCUUCAAGGUAAAAAGCACAAAGCCAAGGAAGAAGGACUAGAAAGGGAGAAGAAACACAUGGCUCGGUCUAAUGAAUCUAAGAAAAAUGAUGAAGCCGUCCCCCUCACCACCAGCACAAUUGUGACACAAUUAGAGCCUACUGAGAAGGUUGAAGAUGAAGAUGUAGUGGCCAAAGAAUCAAAUGAAGAAACAGCAGACAGUGUUAUUGAGAAUGCUGAAGAUGAAGAGGUGGUGGUCUAUAGAGGAAGACAAAGUGGGCCGGACGCAGCAGACUCCUUGUUAUGCUGAAGGUAAAGCUGUAACUUUUAUUUUGCCCGUGCACUUCAUUUUGAAUGUCUUAAAACCAGCUGCACCUCACUCUAUCAUUUGAAAACUCGGAAAUCACAAUAAUAAAUUUAAGUUAAUUCUUCCAUCUCUUUGUAUAUGGAUUUGAAGGAACCAAUUGAUGAAGCCUAUAAAUUCAAGCAACAAUAGUGUAAUGGGGAACAUGCGCUGUUCUCUACUAUCCAGUCUUGGUAAACAGCUCAAAAAAUGAAGUGGAGAUACUAUUAGAUCUACUCUCUAUGAAAGUGCUUCAGACAUGCAUGUUUGCCACUACAAUGUUGUCAUAGCCUCAUAGAGCUGAUUCUUCACAAUUCAGAUAUUCACCCAUGAAUGGAUGGAAUUUAAGGAAAAUUUCCUUAUAAAUUCAUCAUAGGAGAAAAUUUUCUUAAAGAUGUCUUAAGAUAAAAUCCUCGUAAGAAUGAAAUUUAAUGAAAAACUCCUUAGAGAAAAUCACCCUAAGAUAAAUUCCUCCUAAAGAUGGAAUUUGAAGAAAAAUUCAUUAAAAAAAUCAUCAUAGGAUAAAAUACUCAUAAGGAUGGAAUUUAAGGAAAAAUUCCAUCAAAAAAUCAUCCUGGAAUCAAAUCCUCUUAAGGAUAAAAUUUAGGGAAAAAUUCCUUAGAGAAAAUCAUCCUACGAUAAAAUCCUCCUAAGGAUGGCAUUUAAGCAAAAAUUCCUUAGAAAAAUCAUCCUAGUAUCAAAUCCUCCUAAAGAUGAAAUUAAAGGAAAAUUUUGUUCCAAAAAUUAUCCUAGGAUAAAAUUCUCUUAAGGAUAAAAUUUCAGGAAUAAUUCCUUAGAGAAAAUCAUCAUAAGAUCAAAUAUUUUAAGGAUAGAAUUUAAGGAAAAAUUACUUAGAAAAUCAUCCUAGGAUAAAAUCCUCAUAAGGAUAUCCGAGAAUAACAUCCUCCUAAGGAUGAAAUUUAAGGAAAAAUUCCUUGGAGAAAAUCAUCAUAGGAUCAAAUCCUCCUAAGGAUGGAAUUUAAGGAAAACUUCCUUAUAAAAUCAUCGUAGGAUAAAAUUCUCUUAAAGAUAUCCUAAGAUAAAAUCCUCCUAAGGAUGAAAUUUAAGGAAACUUCCUUAGAGAAAAUCACCCUAGGAUAAAUUCCUUUUAAGGAUGAAAUUUAAAGAAAAAUCCCUUAGAGAAAAUCAUUUUAGGAGUCCAUCCUCCUAAAGAUGGAAUUUAAAGAAAAAUCCCUUAAAAAAAUCAUCCUACGAGCAAAUCCUCGUAAAGAUGAAAUUUAAGGAAAAGUUCCUCAGAGAAAAUCAUCCUAGGAUCAAAUCCUCCAAAGGAUGGAAUUUAAAGAAAAACUCCUUAGAAAAUCAUUCUAGGAUAAAUCCUCUUAAGGAUAUCUUAGGAUAAAAUCAUUCUAAGGAUGAAUUUUAAGGAAAAUUUCAUUCGAGAAAAUCAUCAUAGGGUCAAAUCCUCCUAAGGAUGGAAUUUAAGGAAAAAUUCCUUAGAGAAAAUCAUUUUAGGAUCAAAUUCUCCUAAGGAUGGAAUUCUAGGAUAAAAUUCUCUUAAAGAUAUCCUAUAAUAAAAUCCUCCUAAGGAUGAAAUUUAUGAAAACAUUUCUUAGAGAAAAUCACCAUAGGAUAAAUUCCCCCUAAGGAUGGAAUUUAAGGAAAAAUUGCUUUGGGAAAAUCAUCCUGGGAUAAAAUACUCCUAAGGAUGGCAUUUAUGGAAAAAGUCCUUAGAAAAAAUCAUCCUAAAAUCAAGUCCUCCUAAGGAUGGAAUUUAUGGAAAAAUUCCUUAGAGAAAUCAUCCUGGGAUCAAACCCACCGAAAUAUGAAAUUUAAGGAAACAUUCCUUAGAAAAAUUAUUCUAAGAUCAAAUUCUCCUAAGGAUGGAAUUUAAGAAAAAAUUCCUUCGAGAAAAUCUUCCUAGGAUCAAAUCCUCCUCAGGAUGAAAUUUUAGGAAAAAUUUCUUGAAAAAAUCAUCCUAGGAUCAAAUCCUCAUAAGGAUGAAAUUUAAGAAAAAAAUCCUUAUAAAACCAUCCUUGGAUAAAAUUCUCUCAAAGAUAUCCUAAGAUAAAAUCCUCCUAAGGAUAAAAUUUAAAGAAAAAUUUCUUAGAGAAAAUAAUCCUCGAAUCCAAUCCUCCUGUGGAUGGAAUUUUAAAAAAAAAAUUCCUUAGAAAAUUGUCUUAGGAUAAAAUGCUAUUAAGGAUAUCUUAGGAUAGAGCCCUCCUAAGGAUGAAAUUUAAGGAAAGUUUUCUUAGAAAAAUCAUCCUUAGAUAAUUUCCUCCAAAACUUAAAAUUUAAGGAAAAAUUCGUUAGAAAAAAAUUCUUAGGAUAAAAUCCUCUUAAGCAUAUCCAAGGAUAAAAUCCUUUUAAGGAAGAAAUUUAAGGAAAACUUCCUUAGAGAAAAUCAUCCUNNNNNNNNNNNNNNNNNNNNNNNNNNNNNNNNNNNNNNNNNNNNNNNNNNNNNNNNNNNNNNNNNNNNNNNNNNNNNNNNNNNNNNNNNNNNNNNNNNNNAUGGAAAUUUAAGGGAAAAUUCCCUUAGAGAAAAAUCAUUCUAGGAGUCCAUCCUCCUAAGGAUGGAAAUUAAAGAAAAAUCAUCCUACGAUCAAAUCCUCCUAAAGAUGAAAUUUAAGGAAAAGGUUCCUCAGAGAAAAUCAUCAUAGGAUCAAAUCCUCCUAAGGAUGGAAUUUAAAAAAAAAAAUUCCUUAGAAAAUCAUUCUAGGAUAAAAUCCGCUUAAGGAUAUCCUAGGAUAAAAUCAUUUUAAGGAUGAAAUUUAAGGAAAUUUUCCUUCGAGAAAAUCAUCAUAGGGUCAAAUCCUUCUAAGGAUGGAAUUUAAGGAAGAAUUCCUUAGAGAAAAUCACUCUAGGACAAAUUCCUCCUAGGGAUGGAAUUUAAGAAAAAAUUCCUUAGAGAAAAUCAUCCUAAGAUAAUAUCCUCAUAAGGAAGGAAUUUAAGGAAAAUUUCCUUAUAAAAUCAUCAUAGGAUAAAAUACUCUUAAAGAUAUCUUAUAAUAAAAUCCUCCUAAGGAUGAAAUUUAUGUAAACAUUUCUUAGUUCCUCCUAAGGAUGGAAUUUAAGGGAAAAUUGCUUAGGGAAAAUCAUCCUAGGAUAAAAUACUCCUAAGAAUGACAUUUAUGGAAAAAGUCCUUAGAAAAAAUAAUCCUAGAAUCAAGUCCUCCUAAGGAUAGAAUUUAUGGAAAAAUUCCUUAGAGAAAUCAUCAUGGGAUCAAACCCUCCGAAAUAUGAAAUUUAAGGAAACAUUCCUCAGAAAAAUCAUCCUAAAAUCAAAUCCUCCUAAGGAUGGAAUUUAAGGAAAAAUUCCUUAGAGAAAUCUUCCUAGGAUCAAAUCCUCCUUAGGAAGGAAUUUCAGGAAAUAUUUCUUGAAACAAUCAUCCUAGGAUCAAAUCCUCAUAAGGAUGAAAUUUAAGAAAAAAUUCCUUAUAAAACCAUCCUUUGAUAAAAUUCUCUUAAAGAUAUCCUAAGAUAAAAUCCUCCUAAAUAAAAUCCUUCUAAGGAUGAAAUUUAAAGAAAAUUUUUUUAGAGGGAAUAAUCCUCGAAUCCAAUCCUCCUAUGGAUGGAAUUUAAGAAAACAUUCCUUAGAAAAUCAUCUUAGGAUAAAAUCCUAUUAAGGAUAUCUUAGGAUAGAGUCCUCAUAAGGAUGAAAUAUAAGGAAAAUUUUCUUAGAAAAAUCAUCCUUAUAUAAUUUCCUCUAAAACAUGAAAUUUAAGAAAAACUACCUUAGAAAAAAUAAUCCAAUGAUCAAAUCCUCCCAAGGACAAAGUCCCCCUAAGGAUGGAAUUUAAGGAAAAAUGCCUUGGAGAAAAUCAUCCUAGGAUCAAAUCCUCCUAAGGAUGGAAUUUAAGGAAAAAUUCCUUAUAAAAUCAUCAUAGGAUAAAAUUCUCUUAAAGAUAUUCUAAGAGACAACUUUCCUAAGGAUAAAAUUUAAGCAAAAAUUCCUUAGAGAAAAUCACUCAAGGAUAAAUUCUUCUUAAAGAUGCAAUUUAAGGAAAAAUUCCUUAGAAAAUGAUCUUAGGAUAAAAUCCAGUUAAGGAUAUCUCAGGAUAAAAUCCUCCUAAGGAUGAAAUUUAAGGAAACAUUCAUUGCAGAAACUCAUUCUAUGAUCAAAUCUUCCUAAGGAUGGAAUUUAAGGGAAAAUUUCUUAUAAAAUCAUCACAGGAUAAAAUUCUCUUUACACUGUCAUAAGAUAAAAUCCUCCUAAGGAUGAAAUUUAAGGAAAAUUUCCUUAGAGAAAAUCAUUCUAGGAUAAAUUCCUUCUAAGGAUGGAAUUUAAGGGAAAAUCCCUUAGAGAAAAUCAUUCUAGGAGUCCAUCCUCCUAAGGAUGGAAUUUAAAGAAAAAUCAUCCUACGAUCAAAUCCUCCUAAAGAUGAAAUUUAAGGAAAGGUUCCUCAGAGAAAAUCAUCAUAGGAUCAAAUCCUCCUAAGGAUGGAAUUUAAGAAAAAAUUCCUUAGAAAAUCAUCUUAGGAUAAAAUCCUAUUAAGGAUAUCCUAGGGUAAAAUCCUUCAAAUGAUGAAAUUUAAGGAAUAUUCCUUAGAGAAAAUCAUCCUAGGAUCAAAUCCUCCUAAGGAUGGAAUUUAAGGAAAAUGUCCUUUGAGAAAAUCCUCUUAUGGAUGAAAUUUAAGGAACAAUUCCUUAGAGAAAAUCACCCUAGGAUAAAUUCCUACUAAGGGUGGAAUUUAAGGAAAAAAAUCCCUUAGAGAAAAUCAUCCUAGGAUAAAAUCCUCCUAAUGAUGGAAUUUAAAGAAAUAUUCCUUAGAAAAAUCAUCAUAGGAUAAAAUCCUCCUAAAAAUAAAAUUUAAGGAAAAUUUUCUUAGAGAAAAUCAUCAUAUGAUCAAAUCCCCGUAAUGAUGGAAUUUAAGGAAAAUUUUCUUAGAAAAUCAUUCUAGGAUAAAAUCCUCUUAAGGAUAUCCUAGGACAAAGUCCUCCUAAGGAUGGAAUUUAAGGAAAAAGGCCUUAGAGAAAAUCAUCCUAGGAUCAAAUCCUCCUAAGGAUAGAAUUUAAGGAAAAAUUCCUUAGAGAAAAUCAUCUUAGGAUAAAUUCCUCCUACGAAUGAAAUUUUAGGAAAUAUUCCUUAGAAAAUCAUCAUAGGAUAAAAUACUCUUAAGGAUAUCCGAUGAUAAAAUCCUCCUAAUGAUUUUUUUUUAAAAAAAUCUUAGCAUAAAAUUCUCACAAGGACAUCCUGAGGAAAUCCUCCUAAGGACAGAAAUCAAUGACAAAAUCUUCCUAAGUAUGGAAUUCUUGGAUAAAAUCCUCCUAAGGAUGUUUAAAAAAAAUCUUGGAUAAAAUUCUCCUAGGGAAAGCCUCCUAAGGAUAGAAAUCAAGGAUAAAAUAUUCCUAAAGAUGAAAUCUUUGGAGAAAAUCCUCCUAAAGAUAUUUUAAAAAAAAAAGUCUAAAUUUUUUAUUUUAAAAAUUUUAGACUUUGGGGUGGGGGCAACAGUUGCACGAAAAAUAAAAUAUUUCUAAUUAAGGCCCAAAUAAAUUUAAUCUCAAUAAGGCCUAUUUAAUAAAUUUACUCCGAAUUAAGUUCAGAAGUAGUGGAUGUUAGCCUAAAAGGCUACACAUAAUAUAAUUUUGAUGAUAACAAACAACUGUCUAAGUGAUUUAAUAAAUAUUGUAUUUCACAUUUUCUCUAUUUUUUAAAGGAUAAUAUUUAUGCAAGUGAAUCAAGUAAAAUCAAGUUCAACACACUCAACGGAUAACGGCGAAAUCAAGAAUAAAGUUUACAGUUCAACAGAUAAAUUAUUGCGAUAACUUCUUGUAAAGCCGAUAUAAUUUAAUUAAUACAUGAUUUAAUAUUUGAGAAGUUCAAGAGUUUAUUUAAAUAAUUACUUUUUAUAAGCUAAAAGGUUUUAUAUUUAUAAGAUAAAGAAUUUUGUGGAUUUAAGUAAUUUGCACUAAAAUGAAAAGUUUUGCAAUCCUUGAAUUUAAUAAGUAUUUUUUAAAAUUCUAGUUAGACCCAUUUGCAAAUAUUUUAAACGUUUUGUGCCAUACUAUAAUUUAUUCAAGUUUGAGCACUCGAAUGUAAUCCAAACAUUUGAAAUCCAAAAUUGGAUAGAGUGAGCGGCUAACCUCCUGAGGUCUAGCGGCUAGCCGCCUGAGGAAAAUCUCAUAUUUUCAAAUUUUGGAUUAAAUUGAAAGGAUUUGAGAACUUUGAUAUUUAUGAAUAUUUUGUUAAAUCUUGAAAAGGACAUCUUUGAAAAAUAUUAUUAUAUGUUGGGCCAUAUUAUUAUUUUAUAAAGUUUAGAGAAUGACAAGCAUAAUUUAAAAAUUCUGAAAUUGGACCUUUUAUGUAAAAUUGUAUGACGUUGUAGGCCAUCGUAUAAUUAUAGAAAGUAUUGGGCUAUAAUAUAAUUUUAGAAAGUUUUGGGCAAAAUAUAAUUUUGUGAACAAUAUUACUAUAGCAAAAUUCAAAUUUAACGGUAAUUUUACUAUACUGGAGCGGCUAGCCGGCCAAAUUAAGCGGCUAACUGCUUGGGCGUGGGAAUUUGCCUAUAACGGCUAGUUUUUGGGCUUUAACUAUAAAAAUCCAACUCCAACUUCAUUAUAAAGACUAAUGCAAGCAUAAAUAAGAUCAUAUAACACAUAUUGGGCUUCUAUUUCGCAAAUCAUCAUUUAUUGAAUCAUUAUUGUGCUAUUAUUUGCAUAUCCUCUCUUAAAGAGAGUUUUUGUUGUAAUUUUCAUUUCUCAUCAAAUUGUGAGUGUACACAAGUGUGAGAAACACUUGGGGUGAAGAGAUUGAGGAGAUAAUCUCUUGAUUGUAAAGGUUCAUUGACACCUUGGAAGUCAAUUGUAAAAACUUGAAGCCUUGAAAGGUUUGGAUAGUGAAAUCCUCGAGCUUGGUUGGCUUGGAAGUGUGGACGUAGGCGGGAAUUGCCGAACCACGUAAAAAUUGUUGUGUUUGCUUUCUCUUCCCUUACUCUUUUAUUAUUGUGAUUUACUAAAUUUAUUAUUUUUGUAUUUGAUUAAGGCAAUAGAUUAAAUUGUUGUGCGAAUUGUUUAGCAUAAGUUUUAAAAUCUCAAUUCACCCCCCUCUUGGGUUGCAUAACUUGCAUUUCAUUGGACAAACUACCUUGAAAAGUCCUCCUAAGUAACAGGACUUCAACGCCCAAAGGGUUCCAAGAUCCAUGGCCAAAAGGAUCUGAGGUCCUAGGUUCCUAUCCUAAGACAAACCACCUAGGAUAAAUCAACUAGGUGGCAAGGUCUCAAAGCCCAAAAGGAGCCAAGGUCCUAGGUUCUUAUCCUAAGACAAACCACUUAAGAUAAAUCAACUAGGUGGUAAGGAUUCAAAGCUCAAAAGGUGUCGAGGUCCUAAGCUUUUAUCCUAGGACAAACCUCAUAAGUUUGAAGGUUCCUAUGAUCCCAAGGUCUUAGUAAAAAUAACUUAAGGAUAAAAUGUUUCUUCCUUUAAUCCGUAGACAAGUUUGCACAUCCAUAUGUUAAUUCACACAAGCACUAAAAGAAAAGUGCUGCCAAAUAUCACAAGAACAAUGGCAUUUGUCAUCAAAGUAACUAGCAUUCAAGUCAAAUCAGUUUUGCUUAUAAACAUAUCCCUCGUUCUCACUAAAAGGUAAGAAACAAUGGAUUCAAGAGGGGAAAUGCUAACUUUCUCUCUUUAGUUCUCUCUCCCUAAAAUUAUAUUUCUAAAGAUCCAAUGACUAAUUUGCUCGUCGGAGGGUUUACGCCGGCAAAGCCGGCCCUCUGAUCCUUUUCUUGUGUCUGUAGAGUAUCAUUGAACGAGAACAUUCUCAUUGCUUAAGGAAGUGAACUCAAAAGAAGUAAUAUAAAGGCCCAUUAAGAUCAACCCAAUGGGUAAACUCACCAUUGUCAAAUCCAACAAAGAGGAACCCAAGUCCUAAGGGGGUUGAUCUCAGUUAGAAUUUCCAUAUAAGCAGUUGGGACAAAAUUUGCACCAAAAAAUUGAUAUAUUACUGUCUUUUUCUUUAGAUUUAUAAGUAGCGUUGUAGUGCUAUACUAAAUGAAUCAUUGUAAUUUAAUUAUUAUACAACGAUUAAUUCUGGAGUAAGUGAGAAAUUUCAAUCACGGACAAAAUAUAAGAUUGAUAAUUAUUGAUUAGGUUAAUAAUCCAUGGCAAUAAAUUCUGAUAAGUUUACAUCAAAAUAAUAUCGAGAUUUCUUGAACAUGCACAAUCGAUUUUGAGUCUGUCAUUAACACAUUAACCUAAUUAAGCUCCUUAGUCCUUACAUAUGCAGUGAGAAAUAACUUUUUUUUUGUAGAAAUAAUAAUAUAUCCUAUCCUUUGAAUAAUUGAAUUCCACCUUCGGCUGCAGAAUGAUCCAUUUUAAGAUCUGUGGCAGACUGGUAGGUCAAGUCUAUUUAGGAAAUAGAAAAUAUAAUUUAGUUGGUUUAAUUAUUUUGGGUUUAAUGAGGAUCUAGAAGCAUACAAGGAGUUAUUUAGGAAGCAAAUUAAUGAAGACCCGCAAGCUUGGAUAACAUAAAUCAUGUAAACUGGACACGGUUGAUUUGUGAAGAUUGCAUGCUAAUUAGUGUUGCAUGGUUGCUUAUAGUCUAAGAAUUGGUCACUUGAUCGUUAUAUAAAGGGCUUGCAAUUUGUACUUCCGAGGCUUGAUGACAUAAACCGUAUGUAAAUCUUUUUCAUACUAUUUUUUUCUCUUUUUUUAAAGGUAAGCCAAGUCAAAUUUUCUUUUGAUUCGAUUAAACCGAGUCGGAUUCUAAAUAUAUUUUAAGUUCCGUUCAAUUAACCAAGUCGACAAAUUUUGUUAGUGCUAUCUCUUCCUUUUUUUUUUUAUUACAACGAUCAUGUUUGCCUCGGUUCAAACCCCGAAACAGCACAAAAACGACAUCGUUUCGAUAUUAUUAUUAUUAUUAUUAGUUUUGAUUCACUAUAAUACGACACCAUUUGGCUUGGAAAAGGCAAAGGAAAUGGUAACCCAGCUGCUUUCUCUCCUCUAGGCGAUAGGGUUUAGCUUAGAUCACGUAAAAGCAAAAGCAAAAGCUCGAACAAGGAUGAGUUUCAGCAUUGUCCCUGAAAGAUGAUUUUGGACAUUUACUGUGGCUGUGAAAAUGUUCUGGCAGCAGAUUGAUUUUCUAUGUGGCUUUGCAAUAAGAUAAAGUAUUGUCUUCUUUAGCAUAAAGUUGAGUUUCAAAGCUUAAAUUGUGCUUGAUGUUGAUUAAUAAGCGGGUAAUAAUCUGAGCAUUUGUUUCUAUAUUUCCAUAUUAAUAAGCGAGUUUCAUUGCCUUGUUGUUAAAUUAAGUUAAUAUAAUGGGUAAUAAGCUGAGUAUUUUUUUCUAUAUUUCAUUUUGAGUGUUGUUGAUUAAUAAGUGAAGCAAUUUCAACCAUCUCGUGAGUCCUGACCUUAUGAUGCGAUGCUUUUACAUCAAGCUUGAGCUAUUCAUUUUGUUUCUAUUUUCUAUUUCUAAAUUUAAUGAAUUUGCAAUAAUUAAUUAAUAAUAUAUUGAAUUAUUUUAAUUUGCAGCAGUGAAUGGAUAAUUUAGAACAAGUGGAGGAGGUUGAUAAAGUAGAAGAAUUGCAAGAUUUUCAAGGGGGAUAAUUUUGAAGAAAAUAAUGAGGAAUUGGUGGAAAAUGUUAUUGAGCCUAAGGUUGGGAUGUCUUUUAACAUUCCUGAUGAAAUGUUUGAAUAAUAAAAACCUUAUGCCUACAAGAAGGGUUUCCAGUGAUGCGGAGAUCUUAUAGAAAAGGGGAUGAUAGGAGUUUGAAAUAUGUGACAUUUACUUGUGGGCGAAAUGGCAAGUCAGAAAGCAAAUCUAAUCAUGUUUUGCUGCUUUAACCUAACCAAAAAAAUGGAUGCAAUGCUAAAAUUGGAAGACGUUUGGAUGUUUUUUGUGGAAAAUAAAUAAUUGGAAAUUUGUACUUUGAACACAACCAUAUUGUGAGUCCGAGCAAGAGUAGGUAUUAUCAAUGCAACCGUACCAUUAGUCCUUUUGUUAAAAAACAACUUAAAAUAAACGAAGAAGCAAUAAUUAAAAUGACUUAAAGUUUCAAGUCGAUUGUUAUUGAGGUUGGUGGCUUGGAAAAUGUCUCAUUUUUAGAUAGAGAUGCUAGAAAUCAUGUUGAUAAGGUGAGGCGAUUAACGCUCGAAGAAAAAGAUGCUGCUACAAUUUAGAGAUAUUUAAAAAAAAUACAAACAGAUAAUGAUGGGUUUUUCUUUAGUCUUGACUUAGAUGAGGAAGGUUGGUUAAAAAAUGUAUUUUGGGCAGAUCCAAGGAGCAGGCCAGCCUAUAAAGACUUCGAAGAAGUUGUCACGUUUGACACCACAUACCUUACAAACAAGUAUGACAUGUCAUUUGCUUCUUUUGUGGGAGUUAAUCAUCAUGGUUAUUCAAUUUUUUUAGGAUGCGAGUUGAAUUCACAUGAGGACACGAAUAUAUUUAUGUGGUUAUUUGACACAUGACUACAUGUAUGUCUGGCUCUCUUCCCCUUGGAAUCAUCAAAGACUAAGACAAAGUAAUGAAAAAUGCAAUUGAGAUCGUUCUUCCAAAUACUAGUCAUCGAUGGUGUUUGUGGCAUGUACUAAAGAAGGUGCUUCAGAAGUUAGGAAGGUAUGCAGAAUAUCAUGACAUUAGAGUUUCGUUGCAUUAUGUUGUUUAUGAUUCACAGACUCCUGUUGAAUUUAAUGAAGCAUGGCAUGACAUAUUAUAGAAAUACGAUCGUGGUAAUAAUCAGUGGUUAAAUGGUUGAUACAAUGAAAAAAUUCAUUGGGUUUCAUGUUUUGUUAAAACUACUUUUUAGGUUAGAAUGUCAACUACUCAACUUAGUGAGAGUAUGAAUGCUUUAUUUGAAGGGUAUGUUAACUUAAAAACAACCUUGAAGCAAUUUGUAGAGAAAUAAGAGAAAACAAUGGAAAGCAAAAUUGAGAAAAAAUGGCAAGCAGAUGCUAGGUGUUUUAGCCAACGGAUGCCAUGUCAUACCAGUUUUACAACGGAGAAGCAAGUUGAAGGAGUGUACACUAUCUCCAAGUUUCAAGAAUUUCAACAGGAGCUAAUGAAUAAGAUGUAUUGUGAGGUUUUUAGUUAUGGGGAUCAGAAUAUGAAGUCAUUGAAAAUGAUAGAAAGAGUAAAAAAAAACUUUUAAAGUUAUUUUUGAAAAAGAUGAAGGUGAAAUUCAUUUUAUGUGUUCAAUGUUUGAAUAUAAGGGCAUUUUUGUAGACAAGCCAUUGCAGUGUUGCUAUAUAACCAUAUACAAUUACUUCCUGACAAGUAUAUCAUACAAAGAUGGAGAAAAUAUGUGCGGAGAUGCUACAGUAAAGUCAAAGUCAGCUAUGAUGUGAGGAGUUCAAGCAUUGAACAUCAGCAGUUUAAAAAGGAGUGCAUUGCUUUUUAUGAUAUUGCUAAGGUGACUUCAAAAAAUUAAGAAAACUAUAAAAAAAUAUUAUGGGUUGGAUGAAGAAAGUAAUAAAGGUUCUAUUCCUGAAUAUUUGAUGUGACAAUGACGAUACAAUUGUUGAUGGUGGAUCAGGAAAUUGUACUGAAAUCAUACAGGAUCUAGUAGUAAGUCGUCAUAAAGGUCGUCCACCUUGCCAAAGAAAGCAAAAACAAUUUAAAAAGCCAAAAUAAAAGUUGAACAAUAUUUUUGUAAGCACAAUUGUAGAGGUAAUUAUAUUAUAUCAAAGUAAUUUAAAUUACUUUAAUACAUUCACUUUAAAUUAAUUUAAUAUAUAUUUUAAAUGUAUCUUGAUUGUUUUCGUAGGACUCGGAGAUACAUGAUUUAUCAUCUCAAUUGACUACCACAAUCCCAACACAAAAGAGCAAUAUGGCCAUGGUAGUAUUUUUUAAUUUGCCAUUUUCAUUUGUCAUAUGUUUGAUAAUUUGUGUUUAAUUUUUUUUUUUGUACAAUACCUAGCACAAUAGGCACUCCCAGAAUAUGUAUUUUUUUCCCCUUACUAUCAGUAUUGGAUAAAUUAGGCUGAAUUCAUCACGUAAACUUCCAACAAUUACCACAACCAAAUUUUGAGGAUGCCAAUCGGAGGGAUUUUUCAACUAAUGAACCGAGCACAUGAUCGAAAUUAACUUGUGUUAUGUUUUUAUGUAUUAUUUUGGUUUUGUCAGUUGUUGAAUGCAAUUAAUUUACAUGUAUAAAUGCAAUUUAUAUUUAUACUUUUGUUUAGUCAUUUGUAUCUUUAAAUAAGUGAUCGUUUCACUAUAAUUUCAAAUUGUCGGAUCGUCAUUUUCUUGAUUUCAGAUUACCAUUAGCAUCCAGAAACUAAACUCCAAUUUUGCGCAAUGUCGAUUACCCUUUUUCCCAUUGAUAGUUAGUCGGUAGCAUCCAAAAUUGAUAAAAUCUUGCAUUAAGAUAAUUAGUUAGCCAUUUUAUGAGUUAACAUGAAUUCAUUUAUUGCCAGAAAAUUAUUCUUUGCUCAAUUCAUGAUAUGGGUUAAGUAUUUUGAUCCGAUUAAAGAUUUUUUCAAAUUUAAUCAAUUUUGAAAUACAUUUGUUAUCAUCAAAAUCAUUAUUAAGGAAGCAUACAUGUUAAUAAUUAAGUCAAAUGAUUUAGAAACUUAUACUUCGCAGGAAAAUGGUCUACAUAUGCCUACAAGUCUUUUAGAGUCUUUUUCAGUUACAUAGUACAGAUUUAAACAACUUAAAAAUAAUACUUGAAUAGAAAGCAUAAUACAAUAAUCACAAGUAUUUUAAUAAAAUCAAAUUGUGGUGUCUGUCUUCUUCAAAGUUGGUCGUCCAACAAUCGCCUUUGCACCUCACAUUCUUGCAUACGCUCAAGUUCUUUGUGCAAUAAUUGAAAUUUAUUGGACAAAUACUCAAUCUCCAAUGCCAACUUCCCAACCUCCUCUACUAACAAGUCAAUUUUCUCUUCACUAGAUUUACGGUAUUCUGCCCAUUGAAAGUCCUUACAUCCUCUACGAAUCUAAAAUUUGCGAUUUGGAUUCUUUAUUGUAUGUGACGUUAAGAAAUCCAUCCAAUCACCGCAUCUGUUGCAUAUUUGCAAUGAGUUUAGAUUCUUAAUUAUGCUGGAUGACAUUAUGAUUAGUAUACAGCUGAAACUGCCCAAAAAAGAAAAAAAAAGCCUAAUUCAGUUUAGGAAUAAGUUUUAUAUGUAAGUCUAUUCCAAUAUCAAUUAUUCCACAACAUCAUCUGAUUUAUUUUACCUCAACUUAUCUCAACAGCAGCUAGACCAAAUCUUUUCUAUUUCUCAAAUUCCUAGAUCUACACCCGAAAAAGGGAAUUAGUACUUGAAAAUUAGUUUAAGGGCUGCUGCACAAAGCUUUGAUCAGUACAAAAUCCCCUAACAAUGGCACUAAUAUUGAACUAUGACCUAAAAUUACUCUUUAUCAAGGUAAGACGCAUGAAAAUGACCAAAAAAUUACUACCAUUGUAAGUAGCUGCCAAUUGCACUGCAAUAUAGUUGUUACCUAAUCCAGCAACAACAACAGGAGGAUUAGGUAACAAUUAUACCAUACAUUUUAUGAAAAUCGUACAUUUUACAAAGGAAUCUGUUGUAGUAAGGACACUAAUCAUGUAUCUCUAAACAUUUUUAAACAAAACAACCAGCCUUAACUCCCCAAAUUAAACACUAGAUACUCUGAACCAUAACUCCUCACAUCAAAGAUCAGAAACUCUAAACCACAAAUUUUAAAGGAAAGAGGAAACAUUUUAAAGGACACAUAUCAAUUUGAAUAUACAGUAUAAACAAAUUGAUUAUACAACAAUUACAAUAGACAUAUCAAUUUGAAUAUGCAGUAUAAACAACUACGAUGAAGGAAAGGAGAAACAUUUUAUAAGACACAUAUAAACAACUAUAACAUAACCUGAAACCACAAACAACUACAAGAUCAACUAGUCUUGUAUUCUAUUAUUGUUGUUGAAAUCCAUACCUCAACCUACAUAGUACAUAUUGUCGAGUGUUAGAAAGUGUAUAUUUAUAAAGGAGAAAAUCGUCAUUUUACAUUUUAAGUCUCACUAACAUCCCUACUUUUAUGUAUUUAAGUCUCUUGUGAUUUAAUUAUGUGUGUUGUAUUAUAAUUAAGUAUUUUAUGUAUUUUAGGAGCAUCAUGGUUAUUUCACAAUGAACGAGAGAUCAGACAGUAAAACGAACAUUACUUUUGAACUCAGGAUAGUCGAAAACCUUAGGAGGAGCAUAAAAGGACAAAUGGCAUUGUUCACAUGUAUGGUACUAUUCACAUGUACCGUACUAUCCAUGAUACUGUUCACGAUGACAUGGCAUUGAUCGAUGACGUGGCACUGACCAAUGAAGUAUCACGAUCCUAUUAGACUAAAAUUUUUAUGUACUAUUGAUCGGUGGCGUGGCAGCAUGUUAGUGGAUUGAAAAUCGUGCAUACGGUACAUGCAUAUACACAGAAUUAUUUAUAACCAAACUGCAUUACUAUUCAAGCCGCCUCACUGUUCAUACAGUGUAACUAUUCAAACUGCGUGGUCAAAUCGCGUACUGUUGACACGUGGCGCAAUCCUGAGGGUCCAAAUUGUUUUUAAUCCGACGACCAUGAUUUACUCAAUGUAUCAAUAAAAAAGAGGCUCCCCCCUAAUUUGACAUCACUAAAUUCAUUUUUGAGCUCCAUUUUCUGUAAUUUCCUCUCCAUGUUGUAUUUUCUAUGUAUUUUAAUAAAUUUUUAUUUUACCCUUAGUUUAAUUAUGAGUAGCUAAUUUUCUUUCAAACUUGGGUUGAAGGUGAAGUCUCAACAUAUUCCAUGGGCUUAAUUUGGUAAAUUUACUUUCUUUUCCCCUUUGAUUUUUGUGGAUGUUUUGACUUUUCGUCAACAGAUAAUAAUAAUCUUGUCUAGAUACCGCACUGGUAUAUUGAUGAAGAGUAGGAAUCCAUAUUAUACUAGGAUUAGUUUCCUUAUUAACUAAAGUUUAAGACUUUUAAAUUCCUUUCUAAUUUAGAAUUUUGUUUCCCUUUCAAUUUAGGAUUUUAUUUUACUUCAUGAAUUAGGAUAAUUACUACUACUAUAAAUAGCUCCCUCUUGUAGCCUUUGAAAGCAGAGAUUUUUGAGUUUAAUAAUAUUUCAAUUUUCAAAUCUCUUUGUGAGUAUUUGAACAGUUAAUUCUCGGUAUUCUGCGGAAUCAACGAGUCUUAAUCCCUAAAUUCGCGGUAUUAUUUUGAAUCAACGUGAAUUUAGUUGUUCUUUUGUUCCGGUAUUCUCUAAAAUCAACGGAAUAUUUUGAACAUUAAACUUCCGCUGCAUCAGUUUGGUAUCAGAGACAAAACCUGGUAUCACCAAUCUAACUCCAUCUACCACCAAACCUUUCCUUUUUCCCUUUUUGAUUUUUUCCAUUUAGCUUAAAAAAAAAAAAAAAAAACCCCACUUUUUCAGACAAACCACCACCAUCAUCUUACCAACCCAAAAUCUUUCAGAUCCACCCACCCUUACUCGAUUUCCGACCACCAUCAUCGGCAAUCUAAAACUUUUUGCUUAAUUACAGUUUCGGCCUAAAAUUUUAUUUACUUUCAGUUUAACCCCACUACCUUUUUAAACCCGAAUUUGAAAAAAUGCCUCCAAGAAAAGCUCGUGAUGCUCAUACUACAACUUACAAUCAAGAAGAUGUUUCGAAAGAUGAAUCCCUGGCUAGUAUGACAGCCAGAAUUGAUAUGUUAGCUGCACAAAUGGCACGAAUAGCAGAGUUACUUGACGAACGUCAUCGUACUCCAGAACGUGAAGACAAAUCAAGUGUAAGCUUUGCUAACCCAUUCUCUGGGCGUCGACCUAGAACUGAGUCUACUGAUGACAGAAGAUGGGAAUCUGGGUUGAGAAUUGACAUUCCCAAAUUUCAAGGAAGUGGUCGACCUGAAGAAUUAUUAGACUAGAUUAACGCCAUUGAGGAAGUUUUCGAAUACAAAGAAGUUCCUGAAAAUAAACUAGUUUCGCUUGCUGCAACUCGAUUUCGUGGAAGAGCAGCAGCUUGGUGGCAACAAACUAAGCUCACAAGGAUUAGGCAAGGCAAAAAGAAGAUUGAUUCUUGGGAAAAGUUCAAGAAGCACUUGCGUGGAGCAUUCUUGCCUCAUAAUUACGCCAAACUGUUAUACCAACAGCUAUAGAAUUUAAGGCAAGGUAAUCGAUCAGUGGAUGAUUACACUACAGAAUUUCAUUGGUUGGUGGCCCGCAAUGACUUGACAGAGACAGAAGAACAACAGGUUUCCCGCUACAUUGGAGGCCUACGAUCUCAAUUUCAAGACCAAUUAAAUUUACUUGACUCAUACUCUGUUUCAGAGGCACACCAACAAGCCUUGCAGUUGGAGAAGCAAUUUAGUCGACGUACUAAUGACUCAAGCUUUCGGGGUGCUCGAAGUGUUGUUCGUGAUAAUUCAAACCCAACUUCCCAAUUUCGUAAUUUCACUCCUCCAAAUCCUCCAAAUAAAACUAGUAAACCUAGUGAAAUCGGUCAAAGCAGCAAAACUCAAUCAUCGGGUUCGGGAUUACGCUGUUUUAAUUGCGGAGAAAAUGGGCACCGAAUGACAGAAUGUAAAAAGGGAGGAAAAUAUGGUAAAGGCUUAUUCGUAGGCACAGAGGAAAGUGAAGACUACCAGGAGGAAGAAACUGAAGAGUUCGCUGUAAAGCCAACUUUUGAUAGUAGUGGUAGCGCUCAAUCUGUUGAAGAACAUGGUGAUAGCGGGCCAAUGUUGAUCUUGAACCGCACAUUCUUCACUCCUAAAGGUCAAGACAAAGACAAGUGGCUACGACAGAAUAUCUUUCAGACUACUUGCACAAUCGGGGGUAAAGUAUGUCGUAUGGUCAUAGACUCCGGCAGUUGCGAGAAUGUCAUUUCGGAAGAAGCCAUAACAAAGCUAAAUUUAAAGACAGAACCUCAUCAAACUCCAUACAAGCUCACAUGGCUGAAGAAGGAAAAUCAAGUGACAGUAUCGAAACGUUGCUUAGUUUCCUUAUCCAUUGGUUCAAUUUAUAAAGACAAAAUUUGGUGUGAUGUUGUGGCUAUGGAUGCUUGUCAUCUAUUACUGGGUAGACCUUGGCAAUAUGAUCGAAACGUAGUGCAUGAUGGGAAGAGAAACACCUACAGCUUUAUGUUUAACAACACCAAGAUCGUUCUCCUACCUAACAAAGAGUUUACUCUCCAGCAAGACUUGGGUAAUUAUUUGUUAGGAAAGAAGCAAUUUAUAGAUGUUGUAGCAGAGACAAAGAGAGUCUACAUUUUAUUGGGAAAAGAGAGUAACGGUGAUUCGAAGAUUCCUGAAGCUGUGACACCUAUUCUGGCGGAAUUUCAAGAUUUGUUCCCUAAUGAGCUACCACAGGGUUUACCACCUCUUCGAGAUAUACAACACCAAAUUGAUUUGGUACCAGGUUCUACAUUACUAAAUCGACCUCAUUAUCGUAUGAGUCCUACAGAACAUGAGGAAUUAAGGCGCCAAGUGGAAGAGUUACUAGAAAAGGGAUUUAUCCGUGAAAGUCUUAGUCCCUGUGCAGUCCCUGCUUUAUUGACUCCAAAAAAAUAUGGUUCUUGGAGGAUGUGCGUGGACAGUCGAGCUAUCAAUAAAAUUACAGUUCGAUAUCGUUUUCCAAUCCCUCGAUUAGACGACUUGUUAGAUCAACUCAGUGGAGCAACAAUUUUUACCAAACUUGAUUUGAAAAGUGGCUACCAUCAAAUUCGAAUACGGCCUGGAGAUGAAUGGAAAACAGCUUUUAAAAUUCGCGAAGGGUUAUACGAGUGGUUGGUAAUGCCGUUUGGCUUAUCUAAUGCUCCGAGUACUUUUAUGCGAGUCAUGAAUCAAGUUCUUCGCCCUUUCAUUGGAAAGUUUGUGGUUGUUUACUUCGAUGAUAUACUUAUAUAUAGCACCAGUCACGAGUUACAUCUACAACAUUUGAGAGAAGUGCUUUUAGCCUUAAGAGCAACAAGUUUAUACACAGCAGUAAACAAGUGUAUUUUCUUGACCGAGAAAGUAUUAUUUUUGGGAUAUGUGGUGUCGAAGGAUGGUAUAUCUGUUGACCAAUCAAAAGUGGAUGCUAUUCGAGAUUGGCCUCAGCCAACUACUUUAUCCGCCACUAGAAGUUUCCAUGGAUUGGCCUCUUUUUACAAGCGAUUCAUUCCUCAUUUCAGUACUAUUAUGGCACCAAUCACAAAUUGCAUGAAAGGAGGACAAUUCUCUUGGACAGAGGCAGCUACUAAGGCAUUCAAGAUUAUCAAAGAAAAGUUGAUUACUGCCCCAGUACUUGCCCUACCAGAUUUUUCGCUCACUUUUAAGGUACAUUGUGAUGCUUCUAAGGUCGGCAUUGGAGCUGUUCUUAGCCAACAGGGUAAGCCUAUAGCUUAUUUCAGUGAGAAGUUGAAUGGAGCAAAGGCACACUACAGCACUUAUGACGUGGAAUUUUACGCAGUAGUCCAAGCGUUAAAACAUUGGCGACAUUAUCUAAUUCAUAAAGACUUUGUUUUAUACACUGACCAUGCCGCGUUAAAGUAUCUCAAUAGUCAAGACAAGCUCUCUCACAGACAUGCCACGUGGACAGCAUUCCUUCAACAAUUUACCUUUGUGGUGAAGCAUACCUCUGGUGAAUCAAACCGGGCAGCAGAUGCACUUAGUCGACGAACUUCGUUAUUGACACAGAUGCAUAAUCAAGUUCUUGGAUUUGACACAUUUCGAGAGUUAUAUGCUUCUGAUCCUUACUUUGCUCCUAUAUUAGAAGACGUUGUUGCAGGGUUUCGCUCAGAUUAUCAUUUACAUGACGAAUUCCUUUUCAAGAGUAAUCAAUUGUGUGUUCCUAACUCAAGUUUGAGAUUGAAAAUCAUUUCAGAGUUAUAUAAUGAAGGGCACAUGGGUCGUGACAAAACUCUGGCUCUAAUCGCCAACACUUAUUUUUGGCCUACUAUGAGGCGUGAAGUCUAUCACUAUGUUGAGACUUGUCGCAUUUGUCAAGUUUCCAAGGGUGCAGCAACUAAUGCUGGGUUAUAUAUGCCGCUGCCAAUUCCAACACAACCUUGGGCUGACAUUAGCAUGGAUUUUGUUUUGGGAUUACCCCGCACUCAGAGGGGUAUGGAUUCAAUAUUUGUUGUUGUUGAUCGAUUCUCGAAAAUGGCUCACUUCAUUGCUUGCAAGAAGACUACAGACGCUUUGACUGUUGCUCGCCUAUUCUUCAAGGAAGUCUAUAGAUUGCACGGUUUACCAAGUUCUAUAGUAUCUGACCGGGAUACACGAUUUCUUAGCCAUUUUUGGAAGACAUUAUGGAAGUUGACUAACACUCGCCUGAAUUUUAGUAGUGCUUACCACCCACAAACAGAUGGUCAAACUGAAGUUGUCAACCGCUCUUUAGGAAACCAUCUACGUAGUCUAGUUGGUGAUAACUUGAAGAUGUGGGAUCAGAAGUUAUAUCAAGUCGAGUUUACUUAUAACCGUGCAGUUAAGCGUAGUACUGGUUUAAGCCCUUUUCAGGUGAAUUACGGAUAUAAUCCACGAGCUCCUAUUGACUUGGCUCCAGUUCCAGAUUUAGUUCGCAAAAGCGGUAAAGCAGAAGACUUUAUUGAGCAGUUUCAGCAGAUUUAUGAAACUACGCAAGAGUCUUUAAAGCAGACGACCGAAGGUUAUAAAAUUAUGGCAGACAAAAAACGUCGAGCUUUAGAAUUUCAAGUAGGAGAUCUUGUUUGGGCUAUCUUAACUAAAGAUAGAUUCUCAGUUGGUGAGUACAACAAGCUUUCUGCCAGGAAAAUUGGCCCUUUGGAGAUUAUCGAGAAGAUAAAUCCUAAUGCAUACCGAUUACAGCUUCCUAGUCAUAUCCGCACCGCAGAUGUCUUUAAUGUCAAGCAUCUUAUUCCUUACAGAGGUGAUCAUGAUGAAGAUGUUAUUGCUGACAAUCUGAAUUCGAGGGCGAAUUCUCUUCACCCUGGGGGGAAUGAUGAAGAGUAGGAAUUCAUAUUAUACUAGGAUUAGUUUCCUUAUUAACUAAAGUUUAAGACUUUUAAAUUCCUUUCUAAUUUAGAAUUUUGUUUCCCUUUCAAUUUAGGAUUUUGUUUUACUUCAUGAAUUAGGAUAAUUACUACUACUAUAAAUAGCUCCCUCUUGUAGCCUUUGAAAGCAGAGAUUUUUGAGUUUAAUAAUAUUUCAAUUUUCAAAUCUCUUUGUGAGUAUUUGAACAGUUAAUUCUCGGUAUUCUGCGGAAUCAACGAGUCUUAAUCCCUAAAUUCGCGGUAUUCUUUUGAAUCAACGUGAAUUUAGUUGUUCUUUUGUUCCGGUAUUCUCUAAAAUCAACGGAAUAUUUUGAACAUUAAACUUCCGCUGCAUCAUAUAUCCAGCACCCUAGUGCAAUGUUAUUACUAUUUAGCAUGAUGAAGCCUUAGCACCAUAUUGAUUAGAGUGUGGUUCAUAAGGAGUGGAAAUCCCCCGCAUGAUUUAAUUAGGACUAAUAAGAAAUAUUAAGCCUAUGGUGCAUGUUAAUGCAGAUUCAGAUACUCAAGCUCUUCAUUUUAAUAGAUUUCAUUUCAAUUUAUUCCCGUCAUUUUAAUUUAAAUUUUAAGAUAAUUUAAAUCACUUCUACCACAAAUCCAAUCACCCACUUAGAAAAUUAACUUUACACAUAAUUAAAAUCCACCUCCUUAUGGGAUCGACACUCGUCAUCAUUAAUCUAUUCUAUAAUAGAUUCGUGCACUUGCGAGUUCAAUAAAAUUUGCACAACACAUAUAACAUCAUUCAUUUUCUUCCUCUGUUGUCUUUUGUAUUAUCUAGAUUCAAAUUGUGAUUUUUCACAUUAUCAAACAUCUAACACAAUCAAUUAAUCGAAGCUACUGCUACUAAAAAAUUUUACCAAAGUAAAAGAAAAAAAUCCCAAAUUACCCAGAUUAGAUGGCAUACUAUACAUAAUAAAUCACACCAAUUUCUCCAUCCAAUUAAGAAAAGAAAAAUAAAACCCCAGAUGAGCAAAAACUUUAUACCUUAAUGAGAAAAUGAAUCAUAUGCAGAUAUUGGAUUGUGAAUGGCAAUUUUAGGUUGUGGCUGGAGCUGGAUCGGCAAAGCAAAGAGGAAAUAUUUGGAUGUGGUUGGAGCUAGUGGCUGGAGUUUGAUCGAUGAAGGAAAUGAAAGGGGAAAUAUUUGGUUGUGGUUGGAGCUGGUGGCUUAGAGCUCAAUCAACAAAGGAAAUGAAAGGUAAAAUAUUUGGGUGGAGCUCCAUCGACAAAGAAAAUGAGAAAUACUUGGCAAGUAAAAACGACGUCAUUUUUUGCUUUAACGAAACGCUACAUUUAAAUUUCGGGGUUUGACCCGGGGAUUGACCCAGCGUAAAUAUCAUUUUCGUUGUUAUUAAGAUAGUGAUGUAUAAAAUAAAUCUAAAUAUCCUUAAAAUCCCAGAAAGUCACAUCCAUAACUAAAUUUGUGUUGGCUAAUACUGAUGUCGGCACACAUAUUUGGCGCAUAUUAAAAGAAACGCUCUUUCCAUUUACUAUUUAGGUUUCUAUUAUAUAAAUAAUUUCUUUUCUUAACGAAUAAGUUAAAGCCUUAAAAGGGAAAAGAAUUAUUAUAGAUGAAAAAAAAAACACUAGUUUUCUAAUUGCAAAUGUUUUUCCUAGGGCGGGGUGUGUGCGCGCACCUUUGUUGGGCACACAGACAAAUUAAGAGUGCAUUUGGGGCAGCUGCUCCACCCUUUAUAUUCUUACGGACUGUGCUGUGACAAUGCAACUGCCCUUAACAUAUCCUGAAACCAUUUGAUAGCUCGCCAUCAAGUUUUACCUUGCACAUAGACAUACACACUCUCUUUCUUUUCACAGUCAAUAAAGUUCAAGUUAAACAGUGAUAUUUAAACCAUCAUUUAUAUCUAUUAUUGAAUUGGAUAUAAAUCAUUAGAUCUAUUGAAAUAUAUAAAUGAAUAAUUAGUAGGAAUUACUAAUUAUUUUACCAUAAUUAUAUGAAAUAUGCUUUCAUUAGGAUUUCCUAAAAAAUUUUUUGUAGUGAAGUGUUGAGACUUUUAAUAUACUGUUGUAGAUUAAAAACUAUGGCUAUCUAAAAUAAAAUUAUGAUGAUGCGUUUACUUCCAAAAUAAGGACGGGAAUGAAAAUGAAAUUUGAGUGGGCUCUAUAAGUUUGGGAAUGUGAAAUGGGAAUCUCAUUUCGAAGCGAGAGGUGGAAAUGAGAAGUGAAUUAAUAUUUGUACUCUUAGUGAAAAUAAAAAUUCCUUUUUAACUUGUUUUUUAAUAAUAAUAAUAACAACAAUUAUGAUCAUCAUCAUCAUCAUAAUCAACUAAAGGUCAAUUUAAUAAUUUGUAACAAUAUAUUCUGAUUAUAAAAUAAAGUAAACAUCAAUGAUAAAAUAGCUCAUUAAGUUUCGAUUCCUAUAGUUAAAGUAAAGAUUGUAUUCAGCUGGACCGAAGUUUCCUUACUGUCCUAGAAAGUCUGACCCAUAGCUAAAAAUACAGUGUUGACUUACACAUGUCGGCCACCAAAUUUUGGCGCGUUAAAAAACUCUCUUUCCGGUUUCCAUUUGUGGAUCAUGAAUAAGUUAAUUUCUUUAUGAAUAAGUUAAAGCCUUAAAAGGGCAAAGCAUUAUUGUAGUUUGAAAAAAAAAACACGAGUUUCCUUGUUGCAAACGUGGCAUAUAUUUAUCUACUCUUUUAUUCGUCUUUGUUGGGCAUCCAGACAAACUAAAACCCAACUUGACAGGCUCGCCGACGAGUUACAUUGCGCGUAGACAACACGCACUCACUUUCCUUUCACAGUCCAUGGAGUCCAAGUUCGGACGAAUUGACGACAGAACGGUGCCGUCUCGGUCGUCUCCUUCUCCGUCUUCUCAGAGCUCGAGCUACUCAUCUGAUGAUCAAGCACGUCGAGGUCCAUUUAGAUCUCUCUCACAAUCGUCAUUAUCCUCUAUUUGCUUACUGAAAACAAUAUAUAUAUACAUAUAUAUAUAUAUAUAUAUAUAUACACGUUUGCUUUAAAUAAUGUCGUAAUUUUGAGAAGUGCUACGAAUUGUGAUCCAAAUGCUGCCUUAACUUUUCUGCCUUAUGGAAAAAUUUACCUCAGAACCUUAAAUGCUUUUGCACUUGCAAUCAAAUAACGUAGCUUGCCAUCUUGAAUUAACAUAAACAAUCUCUUUCCAGGUAACUACUCAAUGGUCCCCGAUUUGUUGAACAAUCCAAGACUCCUUUACACACUCCAGCGUGAGAUUGAGAAGGAGAUAAUCAGGCGUGAAAUAAUUGCCGCAGAAAUUGAGCGCCGGCGAUUGCCUGAGGAAGAGGCGAGUAGAGAGCUGAUGAUUGAAAGAGAGAUGGCAAUGCAUAGAGCAAGAGAAAUGGGGCUGUCAAUUGAUGACAGGCUCUUAAUGCAACUACACACAAUGUACCCGUGGUUCCCAUUUAGUAGGAAUCUAGGCCUGGGAUUUGGAAAUGAUGUACUGCCUUCUACGCUGCCGCAUUUUUCACAUGGGCUUUGGAGUGGCUUGGACGUUAACAAGAAGGAUGAACUGACUAUGCUGGUCGGUAUUCAAUUUUACUUCUUCACAUGGUUUAUUUAUUUAUUUAUUUUGGUUGGUGUCAAUGAGUAUAUUUGUCUUCAAUAUUGUUUGAUGAUUGUAUUAUAUGGAAUCUGGUUCGCUACAAGUUUGAUGGAAUCGGUUCAAUCAGGUGCUAAAUUUAGAGGCAUGUGAUUGAUGUGCAUCUGGUUUUGGCAUCUUGUCUUUGAGUUUUGCUCUUAUUGACAAGGUAGGUGCAUCCAGGUUUGCUACCCAUGCAUGCGGUAAUCCUUCUUCUUCUGUGGGCUGUGCAUCAACAAUUCAGUCCUAAGGGGGCAUCGUUAUGAUUGAUCAAGGAGAUUUUUCUCCCCUGGUUACUGUAGCUGCAAUUUUUCAUUACAGUGAUUCGUUAUAGUGGCAUUACUGUAAUCUGGGCAGAAAAUAACCUGAGAUUGAUGACUUUGCUGAUUCCUUAGAUGUUGAUUUUUGGUACCCUAGUUUACUUGGGGAAGUCUACCCUAUGUAUAAACGGUAGACUCUUGCACAUGCCUUGCAUUAGUAUACAAUGAAAGCAUGAUCAAGUUACACCAUGUAGAAUGAAAACGAAUAAUAUUGUACCAAUUCUCUGAGACUAGAACCUUGAUUGGAUCAUGCUUUCAUUGUUUAUUUUCCUUGUGCACACUGUCCUUUUGCUUUACUUUUGCUGGUAUUUCAUGUCUGAACUUUUUGGAUAUUUUCCGUGUUACUGAGGUUAUAGCUUAGGUACUGAGGUAGAUGGAUUACAGUAGAUAUUAAGUUUAAAUAACACGAUAUAACGAACAAGAUUGUAUUUAUUGCUAUUUUUCUGGUGCAUUCUAGGACUUCCCUGUGGACCUUUACUGACUUUUGUUUUGAUACUUAUGAAACUUGUAAGUCUUGUUUUGAUUUAUUAGAGAUUUUCUGCUGAUGGAAAAUUUCAGAAGAAAGUAGUAACAAUGCAGAGCUUACUAAUUGAGGGGAGUUCAAGAUGAUAAUUUUAGAUUUUAGAUUUAUGAAAAUUGAAGUAUAAAUAGAGAUAAGUGAGUUUGUUUCGUGUUAGUUUCUUCAUACUCUCCAAUUGACAAUGCCGAGCUUACUCUUUACAUGUCCAUUUGAAUGACUUUAUCCUGCACUUACCUGCUUUGAACAAAGAACAAUUUCAAAUUAGCUAUGUAUAGCUUACGUGGAUUUGAAUGUUAUUAGUAGACCAUUGCUUAGAGAUUCCCAUGUCCAUUCUGAGUGCUAUAGACCUUGGUCUUGAUGCACACGUGACAAGUUUUUUGGGGAGUACAUUUGGACUCACUAUCUUGAUUUAGUUCCAAAUAUUUUAGUAUUUGAUACUUACGUUGGUUUCACAAGUUCAGUUUGGUUGGUCAACUCAGGUGGAUGAGAGAGUUUGUGUAACUCUUGACUAUGCCUGCAAAUGCCAAUGUAUGUGGCUUUAAAAUUUGGGCAGUGAGGACAUGUGAUCCCCCAUAACCUGGAAUCACUGUGUGUCUGAAACCUUUUUGAAUGAAAAACAUGAGCUUGUAGCAAGCUAAGGUUCCAAGAGAGGUUACAUAUGUUUACCAUCAAGUGUCACAUGAACUUGUACAGACUGAUGUUUCUGUUUUCGGGUAAUUUCUUGUUUAAAAUCUUGUUGCUUCUGUUUGUGUGUGUGUGUGUUGGGCUGGAGGCUUCAUUAAAAUGGUGUUUCCUCAAAUUAUGAAAUAAUGCUCAUAAGUAUUAAUAUCAUCUGUUCUUGUCCAGCUUAUUAAGAAAGUGUUGUAGAAUUCUAUUCAAACAUAUUCCCUUUUUUUGUUUCUGGGAAGGGAUGAUUUUCCUAGUUCAGUGCUAAAUUAACAAGGAUUCUGGUUGUAUUAACUAUUUAAAAUAUACUUCUACAUUCUGACCUUUUUUGAGAAAUUCAAAAUUUAAAAUAAAAUUAGUGCGCAUUAUUAUUUUGUAAACAAAUUCUUUUAUCUGUACUACAUUAGCAGAUGAUGGAGCUCACAGGGAAUAUUUUGUAUUUUUACCAUUGAUGUAGUAACUAAUACAUGGCAUCAUCGUUACUGUGUUUGGGUCUCAUUUGCAGGGUAAGCCCGAUUCCAAUAUUUGUGGAUCAAAGCAGAAAGCUGCCACACCAGCUGCAGGUUCUGGAGAGCUCCCUUCAACAAGUUCAAACAAACCCACGAAGUGGAGCUGUGCCCUCUGUCAGGUCAGUGCUACUACUGCGAGAGGUCUAUAUGCACAUCUUCAAGGUAAGAAGCACAAGGCCAAGGAAAAACUACUUAGAGAUUUAAAGAUGUUCAUUAUCUCCACUUCAAAAAAAUCUACUGAGAGCAGAGAUAGCGGUGGCCACGAAAUGAAAACUAAAGUACAAAAGGAAUCAGUUAAAGGUAAUAAAACUGUUGUUGAUUUAGACCAGAAAGUGAAGGGUGGUCUAGAUGGGCAUUCUCAACGUAAGAAGCGCAAGGCCAAGGUAGCAAGACUACUUAGAGGUAAGAAAAUGUAUGGUAACUUCACUUCUUCUGUGUCAAAAAAAUCAACAGAAAGCAGAGGUGGUGCUGGCCAAAAAAUGAAGACUAAAGCACAAGAGGAAUCAGUUAAAGCUAACAAAACUGUUGUUGGUUUAAACCAGAAAGUAAAGGGUGGUCUAGAUGGGCAUCCUCGACGUAAGAAGCACAAGGCCAAGGUAGCAAGACUACUUAGAGAUAAGAAAAUGUGCAGUAACUCCACUUCUUCUAUGUCAAAAAAAUCAAAAGAAAGCAGAGGUGUUGGUGGCCAAAAAAUGAAGACUAAAGUACAAGAGGAGUCAGUUAAAGCUAAUAAAACUUUUGUUGGUUUAAACCAGAAUGUGAAGGGUGGUCUAGAUGAGCGUCCUCAAGGUAAGAAGCACAAGGCCAAGGUAGCAAGACUAAGAGAUAGGAAAAUGUGCAGUAACUCCACUUCUUCUACGUCAAAAAAAUCUACAGAAAGCACAGGUGUUGCUGGCCAAAAAAGGAAGACUAAAGUACAAGAGGAAUCAGUUAAAGCUACUGAAAGUGUUGUCGGUUUAAACCAGAAUGUGAAGGGUGGUCUAGAUGAGCGUCCUCAAGGUAAGAAGCACAAGGCCAAGGUAGCAAGACUACUUAGAGAUAAUAAAAUGUGCUCUAACUCCACUUCUUCUACGUCCAAAAAAUCUACGGAAAGCAGAGGUGGUGCUGGCCAAAAAAUGAAGACUAAAGUACAAGAGGAAUCAGCUAAAGCUACUAAAACUGUUGUCGGUUCAAACCAGAAAGUGAAGGGUGGUCUAGAUGAGCAUCUUCAAGGUAAGAAGCACAAGGCCAAGGAAGAAGAAUUACUUGGAGCUCAGAAGUGGACAAAAAAAUCUACAGAAAGCAGAGAUAUUGCCGGCCAAGAAAUGAAGACUAAAGUGGAAGAGAAAUCCGUUAAAGCUAAUAAAACUGUUGUUGGUUCAGACCAGAAAGGGGAGGGUGGUCAAGCCCAGCAGGUUAAGCUUUAUCCCAAUCUUUGUGGAUCAAAGCAGGAAGCUGCCACACUACCAGCAGAUUCUGGAAAGCCCUGUUCAACGGGUUCAAAGAAACCCAUGCAUUGGAGUUGUGCCCUCUGUCAGGUCAGUUCUACUAGCAAGAGAAAUCUAGAUGAGCAUCUUCGUGGCAAGAAGCACAAGGCCAAGGAAGAAGAACUGCUUGGAGAUCAGAAGUGGAAAAAAAAAUCUAGAGAAAGCAGAGAUAUUACUGGCCAAGAAAUAAAGACUAAAGUAGAAGAGGAAUCCGUUAAAGCUAAUAAAACUGUUGUUGGUUCGGACCAGAAAGGAGAGGGUGGUCAAGCCCAGCAGGUUAAGCCCUAUCCCAAUCUUUGUGGAUCAAAUCAGGAAGCUGCCACGCUACCAGCAGAUUCUGGAAAGCCCUGUUCAACGGGUUCAAAGAAACCCAUGCAUUGGAGUUGUGCCCUCUGUCGGGUCAGUUCUACUAGCAAGAGAGAUCUAGAUGAGCAUCUUCGUGGUAAGAAGCACGAGGCCAAGGAAGAAGAACUGCUUGGAGGUCAGAAGUGGACAAAAAAAUCUACAGAAAGCAUAGAUAGUGCUGGCCAAGAAAUGAAGACUAAAGUAGAAGAGGAAUCUGUUAAAGCUAACAAAACUGUUGUUGGUUCGGACCAGAAAGGAGAGGGUGGUCAAGCCCAGCAGGUUAAGCCCUAUCCCAAUCUUUGUGGAUCAAAGCAGGAAGCUGCCACACUACCAGCAGAUUCUGGAAAGCCCUGUUCAACGGGUUCAAAGAAACCCAUGCAUUGGAGUUGUGCCCUCUGUCAGGUCAGUUCUACUAGCAAGAGAGAUCUAGAUGAGCAUCUUCGUGGUAAGAAGCACAAGGCCAAGGAAGAAGAACUACUUGGAGCUCAGAAGUGGACAAAAAAAUCUACAGAAAGCAGAGAUAUUGCUGGCCAAGAAAUGAAGACUAAAGUGGAAGAGAAAUCCGUUAAAGCUAAUAAAAUUGUUGUUGGUUCGGACCAGAAAGGGGAGGGUGGUCAAGCCCAGCAGGUUAAGCCCUAUCCCAAUCUUUGUGGAUCAAAGCAGGAAGCUACCACAUUACCAGCAGAUUCUGGAAAGCCCUGUUCAACGGGUUCAAAGAAACCCAUGCAUUGGAGUUGUGCCCUCUGUCAGGUCAGUUCUACUAGCAAGAGAAAUCUAGAUGAGCAUCUUCGUGGUAAGAAGCACAAGGCCAAGGAAGAAGGACUAGAAAGGGAGAAGAAACACAUGGCUCGGUCUAAUGAAUCUAAGAAAAAUGAUGAAGCCGUCUCCCUCACCACCAGCACAACAAUUGUGACACCAUUAGAGCCUACUGAGAAGGUUGAAGAUGAAGAUGUAGUGGCCAAAGAAUCAAAUGAAGAAACAGUGGACGGUGUUAUUGAGAAUGCUGAAGAUGAAGAGGUGGUGGUCUAUAGAGGAAGACAAAGUGGGCCUGACGCAGCAGACUCCUUGUUAUGCUGAAGGUAAAUCUGUAACUUUAUUUUGCCCUUUCACUUCAUUUUGAAUGUCUUAAACCAGCUGCACCUCACUUUAUCAUUUGAAAACUCGGAAAUCACAAUAAUAAAUUAAGUUAAUUCUUCCAUCUCUUUGUAUAUGGAUUUGAAGGAACCAAUUGAUGAAGCCUAUAAAUUCAAGCAACAAUAGUGUAAUGGGGAUCAUUCGCUGUUCUCUACUAUCCAGUCUUGGUAAACAGCUCAAAAAAUGAAGUGGAGAUACUAUUAGAUCUACUCUCUAUGAAAGUGCUUCAGACAUGCAUGUUUGUCACUACGAUGCUGUCAUAGUCUCAUAGAGCUGAUUCUUCACAAUUCAGAUAUUCACUCAUGAAUUCUUUGAAAUUUAGAGCUUUUCUCCAUAGCUACCUCAUUAGAAAACAAGUCAUGACAUAAGACUUAUCGACUCAAAGCAGAAUUUUCUAGAUCAGGACCUAACAUCAGUUUAUCUUGUGCUGGCAGGUAGUUGAUUGGAUAUCACUAUCCCCAACUUGUGCAGAAGCUUCCUGACCUUUGUAUGUCAUCAGCAGUGGGUGCUGGAUGUUUGAUCAGAUCGGCUAAAUUAUGAACUUAUUGUGUAUAUUUGUGUCAAUAUGUACAAAGGAAGGGGGUAAAAAACUAAUAUAUUAAAUAACACGGCAUAAAAAACCUCCUCCUAAACAAAAUAUGUAUCUAUUUUGUAAAAUGAGUUAAUA